CCGGGAGAGGCGGGCUAGACGACGGAGAUGUAGAGGGAGCUUCUGGCGUCGUAGGAGCAAGAGCUGGAACCUGAGCGGGAGGAGAUGCAAGAGGAGCUGGAGGAGGAGUUGCUGGAGGAGGAGAUGCGACGGGUGGAGGAGUUGCUGGUGGAGGAGAAGCGACGGGAGGGGGAGUUGCUGGAGGAGGAGUUGCCACUGGAGGAGGAGUGGCCGGAGGAGGAGAAGCGACUGGAGGAGGAGUAGCAGGAGGAGGAGCGGUGGUGGCUGGAGGAGGAGAAGUUGUGACUGGUGGAGGAGCUGAGACAGGAGGAGGAGUGGCUGCUGGCGGGGGAGUUGUUGUGGUGGGUGGUGCUGGUGUGGUGGUUGGUGGUGACGACGGAGCUUGACCUCCGACGCCGGCGAUGAGGACGAUGCAGAUCGCAACAAUGGCAAAUCGCCUAGCCAUUUUGUUUUGUUUCUUGUGUGAAGCGCACUCUCUAAGUGAUGGUUCAGUGUAAAGAAAAUGUAAAAGGAGGAAAGUGAAGGAAUUAUUUAUAUAGGAGAAGUGGAAUCACAUCGAAACGCAGAUACAUAGCGUCGUAUUGAAGCUGUGUUUAGUGUAUAAUACAACCCAUGAUGCCAUGUGAGAGUUGGCGGUGCUAGUAGUCAGUUGACACGUUGGCGAGUCUGUACCAACAAAUUAUGAUGGGAUGUGAAUGAGUUGUAUUUAUUGACAUAAAGCUUAGAAGUUACUCUUAGCUAAGGUGCUUUAAGUAAGUGAUAAACAAAAACAUUCUGGAUCUCACCGAAUACAUAAUUAUGGAAAACACCAAACAAACUUUAGAAAAUGUCAACAGUGGGACAGAAAUAGGUGGCGAAUUUGGUAAAUAAUAACCAAAAACCGUGUGCUACAGUUGUUUGGUACCACCAGAGUUGGUAGACGAUCCUUCAUGCGGAUCACGGUCAGAAAUUAAGUUUUAUCAUCUACAAGACUACAACAAAAACGAAUGUUUUAAAAUGACAAAAAUGUCAAUUUUACAAAUUUUGGAAUUAGUAUCUAUCUCAGACAAAUUUUUAUUUUGGUGACUAGAAGGUUUUGAGUCUAAAUAUUUGUACUUCUUUAUAGGAUGAUGAAACCCAUGUAAGUUCAAAAAGAUAGAGUUUUUGUACAAGGAGAUUAAAGUUUAUCGUGAAUGGGAGACGAUGUAACACUUGGCAGCCUACCUGCUAAGAUAUACACCAUUGUGAACGAAGCAUCAAUGCUUGGGACCUGGGAAGAAGUACAAAGAAAAGGAACUGGUCAAGAAGCUCAACAGAUGUUUUCCUUCCAAAUUUUUUGUUUAUAAAAAUAGUCAUGAAAGUGACAAUGAACUCUGAUGAUAUGAAAUUCGACAAAUUUGUUGGACUACUCAAAGCUGCAAAAAUGGAAAAUACUGAGAAAAUACCAAAAUGUGUGAAAGGAAUUGCUUUUGAAGUGAAUCGGGAUGAUGUUAGACUGCAAAAACUUGAAGAAAGUUUAUAGGCUAGAAACUUUAACAAAAUUGUAACGACACAACAGUAUAGAUAAAACGAUUUCGUUCAACUCUCCUUCUUCUGUGGAGUGUGUAUAUAGAGAGAAUCAUAGAAUUCGCAAGAAGAACAAGUUUUGGGAUCUUGGUGAGUUAUCUUUGUGAGAGACGCAACUGCUGUUGUGUAGGAUAUUUUUAGGUAUUUUAGGAAUUUGUCAAUAGCAAAAUACAAUUGUGUGUUACUACGAACUGAUUGAACAGAUCUUAUUAAUUUGUUCAUGAGAUUUCCAAUAAAAGAUAUCGUUUUCGGAAUUGCCAUAAGAUAAUAUUUCCUAUACCAACAAUCAUUUUAGGUUUUUUCAACCCACACCAUGUUAAAUUAACUCUAUUUCGGACACUUCCUAUAUCAAUAGUAAAGAUCAAAAUGCACUAUCUACGUAAAUUGAUCGAUGAGGUUGUCUUUUAGUUAAUUUCAUAAACCUAUAAACCUGAAAUGGUAAAAAUAUCCAACUAUUUACAGUUUUUGUUAAUUAGCCUGAAUUUAUGGGUGAUAUUUGCAUCAAGAUAUAAACAAAAGGAUUAGCAAAUAAAUUAGUAAAACUAAAUUAAGUAUAAAUGUGUUAAACAAAAAUAAAAGAUAGGUUUUCCUUAUGAAAUGAGUAAAGGGGAGAGUGAUGGAGUGCUUUGAAUACAAAAAUUAUAUUUUAAAUUAAAAUUAUCCUAAAAUAUGGUAAGUUUUGAUGUAAACGAAAACUCAAAUGAUGUCAAAAAUAAUUAUAUUCAAUGAUAAUAACAAUUAAAAUUGAUUAUUUUAAGAAAAUAGAUUUACAAAAAUAUUGUUUGAAAGAAAAUUUAUUUAUCUUUCAAAUAUAAAAUAAAAAUAUUAUAAUUAAUUAAUAAAAAAUAUAAAUAAAAACCAUAAAUUUAGCAAAUGACAACUGAGUUAUAUUAUGCUAAAAUUUUCUUUCUAACAAUUUAUCAAAUGACAAAUGAGUUAUGAGCAAAUAAUACCAUAUAAUUUUUAAAAACAUAGCNNNNNNNNNNNNNNNNNNNNNNNNNNNNNNNNNNNNNNNNNNNNNNNNNNNNNNNNNNNNNNNNNNNNNNNNNNNNNNNNNNNNNNNNNNNNNNNNNNNNNNNNNNNNNNNNNNNNNNNNNNNNNNNNNNNNNNNNNNNNNNNNNNNNNNNNNNNNNNNNNNNNNNNNNNNNNNNNNNNNNNNNNNNNNNNNNNNNNNNNNNNNNNNNNNNNNNNNNNNNNNNNNNNNNNNNNNNNNNNNNNNNNNNNNNNNNNNNNNNNNNNNNNNNNNNNNNNNNNNNNNNNNNNNNNNNNNNNNNNNNNNNNNNNNNNNNNNNNNNNNNNNNNNNNNNNNNNNNNNNNNNNNNNNNNNNNNNNNNNNNNNNNNNNNNNNNNNNNNNNNNNNNNNNNNNNNNNNNNNNNNNNNNNNNNNNNNNNNNNNNNNNNNNNNNNNNNNNNNNNNNNNNNNNNNNNNNNNNNNNNNNNNNNNNNNNNNNNNNNNNNNNNNNNNNNNNNNNNNNNNNNNNNNNGGAUAUUUAGGAUGUGAAAAGGACAUGACAUACCCAAUUCCAUCAAAUUUAGCUGAUAUUUGUCAUAUAUAUAUAUAAUUUUACAAAAUAACUUAAAUUAAACUAUUAAUAAUUAAAAUAAAACAUUUUUAAACUCUAAAUUUUACAUUUUAAAGUUUCAUAUUAUUUUAAAUCAUAAAAUAAUAUAUAUAAAUGAGAACACAAAAAAUCAUAAUUUUGGAUGUACAUAUUUUUAAGUCAGAUACAAAUCGGUUCUUAUCGGGUCAGGUCUAUUCGGGUCGGUUCCUUUUGGUUCCGGUUCUUUUAGGUAAAAGAAAUUUGGACCCAGAAAGUACUUGUCAAUUUUCGGUUUGGUUUCGGAUCGGUUUCGGUUUGGGAUUUCGGGUCUAGGUUAAAAUCCCCGGGCCUAAGCUCAACCAAGAGUUGCCUUCGGUCGAAGCUAAUUAGGCUGUCACGGGAGCCUCUUCGGAGUCCAGAAAAUAAGGAACCAGGCCCAAAACCUGAUCCAAACUCAAGAUGUACAUAUUCUAGUAAGUUGUCCAACUGGCUUCAAAGUUAGGAAAGUCUUCCUUCUUUUCACAAGGGCACGUCCCAGAUAUAUUUAUGGAAGCCAGGAGAGAUACACCAUAACCCAUCCAAGACGUCCUACCAUGUACAGUACCAGUACCCAGAGAAUUAGGGGAUGUAUUCAACUGAGAGUUUCAGGUGAUUUGUAUUAAAAUGACAAAUCAACUGUUAUUGAAACAUGAAUUUUAAAUAUUCAUUUAAAAUCCACUGUUAUUGAAUUUGACAUUUCUUAAAAUACUCUAAAAUCCACUGUUAUUGAAAAUAUUUUAAGUUGUGGAGUUUUAAAGUUUUAGGUGAUUUUAGGGUGUUUGGGUAGGUUUUUUUAGUUAAAAAAUUAAAACCCAAAUCCCAUAGUUUUAGGUGAUAUUCUAGAGUAGUUUACCAAAAAUCACUUAAAUCUCUGCAAUUUAUUGAAAUCAUCUAAAACCCCAUUAAAAAUCAAAUCACAUCAAAUGUUAAAUUGAAUACAUCCCCUAAAUGUUAAAUUGAAUACAUCCCCUAAGAGAAUCAACUUGCACUCUGACAUUCCAUAUUAAACUCCAACGGAUUUUCCUAUCCAAAUUAGCUGCAGAAAUCUACGCCACACUUGGAGGCUUCCAAAGACAUUAUAAAUGUACCUAGACCGACGUCCCAAGAUAUCACAACUUUUCACCCAAGCUAUCAAGCUCAAGAAAACACUAUUUCCUUUCAUGGCUGGAUUUUGUCAUAAACCAUCCAACAGCUAGUAUUUUUUCAUUUGCUUAAUAAGCUCCAUUCACUAGUCUUUGUAAAGCACCCUUGUCCAUUUGAAGUUUAAUGAAAGUAUUAUUCAGUUUACAAAUCGAGCAUUUGUAAGGGCGAUAUAUUAAAAAAAAAAUUAAAGUGAGAGGAAUUUGAGAUUAAUUCUAAUUGUUUUUGUCCCGUUCAACAAAAAGAAAAGAUACUAAAAAGGUGAUUCGAAGAGGCUCUGGACAACCAUUUUUAUUUCUACAGCUUUCUUUUGAAACAAUCAUGCUUUAGUUUUUAAAACUGAAUCUAAAGCCAAAAUAUUAAAAUAGAAAAUAUAUUAUAAGUUGUAGAAAUCAAUUUCUUUAGAGUUUUUGUUAACUACUUAGAAAAAUAUACGAAAAAAAAAAUCAAAGCCACAACUAGAAGCUUAAAACAUAAAUCUUAGGGCAAAAAACAUAAAGCCACAACUUCAACUAAUCAAACCCUAAGUGUCUAGACUUAAAUGAAGUAUGCGACUUCGGUCGAGCACUUGGAUGCUGCACUUCCGAGUAGCGUGAUUAAGAUCCCUAUGUGAUGCAGCGUGGAUCAUACUUCCUUUUCGGUUUUGGUUUUACCUUUACUUAAUUAUUCUUAUUCUAGAUAAUUGCUAAGUUUCCUAUUUACUUAUGAGAUUAGAAUUAAGACUUAUGGAUAUAAUGUUAGGCCAUAAUCCUUAAGGACUUAGGUCUUUUCCUAUUGUUAUAUAUAUAGUGCUCUCUAGGUUUGUACGGAGACACAUUAUUAUUGAUUUAUAAAAACAAAGCUUUGGCUUUAAAACUCUUGAUUACGGCUAGUUCAUUGGUUGAACUCAAUGGAUUCAAGUUCAUAGGCACGUUUGGGCAUUCUCAGACUAAACAAUCGUUCCUAUUCUAUCGGUUACUGUAUCAGUUGGUAUCAGAGACUUCCGUUUUAGAUUCUCAUCUAAGACACGAUCAAUGGCACCAAGAAAGUUGACGGACGAUCAGCUCGACGAGAUUCGCCAGAUGUUCGAGACGUUUACGGCAGGAAUCCAAACGGCGUUCCAAACUUCGGUGGAAAACGCCCUAACCACUGUUCUCCAAGCUCAACGUGAACGACGGAAUGCUCCGCGAGAUCAGCACCAGCAUCAAGCUAGGCAACACAACGCACAGCUUGACGCAUCAGACGAAGAAGACAUGGUCGACAAUUUGUUCGCUGCUCAAGUACACGAUCAACGUGAUCGUCGUGAUCACAACCAUGCCGACAGACGCGAUGAUCACCGUGAGGAGCAGGACCAACAACCUAAUCCUCCAAAUCGUUGGGAGUCCAGCUUCCGGACAAAUAUUCCAGAAUUUUCAGGAACUCUCAACCCCGAAGAAUUCAUCGAUUGGAUGAACAUAGUCGAAGAAAUCCUUGAGUUUCGCCAAGUACCAGAUGACGUAAGAGUUCCUCUCAUCGCAACAAGAUUCCAGGGACGAGCUAUGGCUUGGUGGCAACAACUCAAAGAGACUCGUCAACAAGAGAACAAACCUCGUAUUAACUCAUGGGCGCGACUAACUAAACAUCUGCGUUGAAGUUUUCUACCAUUCAACUACGAACGCACCUUGUACAACAAGUUACAAAAUCUUCGUCAAGGGACACGUUCAGUUGAUGAGUAUGCGACGGAGUUUUUCUAUAUGACGGCUAGAAUGCCUUCUGCCGAGAACCAACAACAACUCAUUGCUCGGUUUAUCGGUGGCCUUCCUUCACAGUUGCAAGUGGCAUUAGCCCAAUUUAAUCCGUCCUCUAUUUCUGAAGCACAUCAACGAGCCAUAUCAAUGGAACAACAACUGCGUUCCUCUUGGACUUCGUCAUCUCGUACGCGUUUUCAGCAGGGCGAUACCAGCAGCAAAUAAGGAACGACUUUGCAGAACACGGAGGCAACAAAAACACCAGCAAACAGCGAUACCAUUGCUAACUCUCGACCAGCUCGAACCAAUGCUCUGCGUUGUUAUACUUGUGGAGAACGUGGCCAUAUUCAAACUGCUUGUCCUAAUAAGACUAAGCGGGGGCUAAUAGUUCAUGAGGAUACUGAGCCAAAGCAUGAUGAUUUUAAGGCCUCUGAUGAGGAAAACAUUGAUAUCAUACAGGGAGAUACAUGCCUUAACUUGGUUCUCUUGCGCAAUUGUCUCCUCCCGAAAGCCUCUCACGAUUCUUGGCUGCGCACCAACUUGUUUCGAUCUACAUGUACCAUCAACGGACGGGUCUGUAAACUGAUUAUUGACUCGGGCAGUUGCACUAACGUCAUGUCAUAUGAAGCUUCCCAGAAACUCGGUCUCACCGUGGUUCCCCAUCCCUCGCCUUAUCCGCUUGCUUGGCUUAACAACGGCACCGAGAUCACGGUCUCAAAGCAAGUUCUCGUCUCAUUCUCUAUUGGCACGUAUAAGAACUCCGUGACCUGCGAUGUUAUUCCUAUGGAUGCUUGCCAUUUAUUGUUAGGAAGACCGUGGCAAUUUGAUCGUGAUGCUACUCAUCGAGGAAAGGCCAACACAUACAGCUUCGUGUUUAACAAUCGUACAAUUACAUUGAUUCCGUCUAAAGACCAACCGGAAUCUAGUCCACGGUCUAGUGGUGAUUCAAACAAGGGAGCUACACCAACUUCGAACUCACUUUUAACGCUUCCCAAAAGUGAUUUUGAAAAGCAGAUGCACGAUGUUGAUAUACUUUGGGCCCUUGUCGCAUCGCCGGCAACAACAACUUCAGUAACUGAACCUUCAUCAGCAUUCAUGCCAUUGCUACAAGAGUUCAGUGAUGUCUUCCCCACCGACCUGCCUAGCGACCUCCCACCGUUAAGAGACAUACAACAUCAUAUUGACCUGGUCCCUAAUGCCGUUCUUCCCAACGGACCGCAUUAUCGCAUGAGCCCUCAAGAACAUGACGAACUUCGUCGUCAAGUUGAAGAACUUCUCCAGAAGGGUCAUGUGCGAGAAAGCUUAAGUCCCGCUGCUGUGCCAGCAUUACUCAUCCCUAAGAAAGAUGGAUCAUGGUGAAUGUGCGUUGAUAGUCGUGCGAUCAACAAAAUAACAGUUCGGUAUAGAUUCCCUAUCACGCGUCUGGAUGACCUUCUUGAUCAAAUCGGCAAGGCAAAAAUUUUUACAAAACUUGAUCUGAAAAGUGGCUACCAUCAAAUUCGAAUUCGACCAGGCGAUGAAUAGAAAACUGCUUUCAAGACACGCGAAGGUCUCUUUGAAUGGACUGUGAUGCCGUUCGGGCUCUCAAACGCUCCGAGCACUUUUAUGAGAGUUAUGAAUCAAGCUCUUCGUCCUUUUAUAGGCAAAUACGUUGUGGUCUACUUCGAUGAUAUUUUGAUCUUCAGCCAUGAUUUGUCAAGCCAUCUAUCUCAUCUGCGAGAUGUCUUAGAAGUUCUUUGUCGCGAGAAGCUGUAUGCCGCACGCCAUAAGUGUGUCUUUGGAGUCGAUCAUGUGCUCUUCUUAGGAUAUAUUGUAUCCGAUAAAGGCCUACAAGUAGACCCAGGGAAGGUCGAAGCUAUCAAAACGUGGCCAACACCUCGUUCUAUCAGCAAUGUCAGAAGUUUUCAUGGGCUCGUCUCUUUCUACCGGAGGUUCGUACAUCAUUUCAGUAAUGUUGCAGCUCCUCUUACGGAUUGUAUGAAGGGUACAACCUUCUUGUGGACUUCAGAAGCUAACAACGCCUUUGAAAAUCUCAAGCAGUAUUUGGUUUCAGUGCAAAUACUGGCCUUACCCGACUUCACUCAAGUCUUCGAACUCCAUUGCGAUGCGUGAAAAUUAGGGAUCGGCGCGGUCCUUAGCCAACAAGGUCGUCCAAUCGCCUUUUUCAGCGCGAAAAUUGCAGGUUCCCGUGCUCGUUACAGUACAUACGACGUUGAGUUUUAUGCUAUUGUUCAAGCUAUUAAGCACUGGAUGCAUUAUCUUUUCCACCAAAAAUUCAUCCUCUACACAGAUCAUGAUGUCUUGAAACAUUUGGGAAGUCAGGACAAGGUCUCAUCUCGCCAUGCUUCGUGGGUUGCCUUUCUCCAGCAGUUCACGUUCGUGAUUAAACACCAAUCUGGAAAGACAAAUAAGGUAGCCGACGCUCUCAGCAGACGCCAUUCUUUGGUCGUCACUAUGCAGGUUUCGGUCCCUGGCUUUACUAUUUUGCCGGACCUAUACAAGGAUGAUCAUUAUUUUGGUACGAUAUGGUCUUCUCUGCAAGCUGGUCUCUGGUCCGAGUUUCUGCUACACGAGGGUUACAUUUUUCGAGGUUCGCAGCUGUGUCUUCCGGACAGUAGUCUUCGCCUCAAGGUUAUUAAGGAGUUACAUGAGGAAGGUCACGUCGGCCGCGACUGUACACUUCAAUUGGUGAUGGAGUCUUACUUUUGGCCCUCCUUACGUCGCGAUGUCUAUAGGUUUGUCGCGCGUUGUGUUGUUUGCCAAAGGUCUAAGGGUCAUGCUUCUAACAGUGGAUUGUAUCUUCCGCUCCCAAUACCAACGCAACCUUGAACUGAUGUUAGUAUGGAUUUCGUCUUAGGGCUACCGCGUACUCAACGUGGCAACGACUCUAUUUUUGUGGUGGUCGACCGUUUUUCUAAAAUGGCCCACUUUAUACCAUGCAAGAAGACGAACGAUGCGGUGCAAGUUGCUAAUCUUUUUUUUCGUGAAGUCUAUAGGCUUCAUGGUUUGCCGUUAUCGAUUGUCUCCGACAGAGACUCUCGCUUUCUCAGUCACUUCUGGCGUUCUUUGUGGCGUUUACUUCGUACAACGCUUGAUAUGAGCUCCGCCUAUCACCCACAGACAGAUGGUCAAACCGAAGUCACCAACCGCACAAUGGGUGAUAUGCUUCUUUGUUUAGUUGUCGACAACAUUCGCACAUGGGAUUCGGUGUUGUGUCAAGUCGAGUUUGCUCAUAACCAUGCAGUCAACAAAAGUACUCGUUUCAGUCCCUUCAGAGUUGUUUACGGCAUAGUUCCUCGCGGCCCCAUUGAUCUUGGUCUAGCUCCGGAUCUUUCUCGCGACCAUGGCCAGGCAAUUGACUUUGUGGCUGAUAUUUCUUCGAUUCAUGCUAAAGUCCAUGAUAACUUGCAGCUUUCUUCUGCGAAGUAUAAAGCUAGUGCUGAUCGACAUCGAAGGGAUUUACAGUUCCGAGUUGGUGAUCUUGUUUGGGCAGUCUUGACGCGUGACAUUUUUCUCCAGGUGAUUAUAACAAGCUUAAGUCUCGCAAAGUUGGUCCUUUGGAAGUUUUUGAGAAGAUCAACGCAAAUGCCUAUUGUCUGCAGUUACCACCUGAAGCUCAAUAUUCUGAUGUCUUCAACGUGAAGCAUCUCAUUCCAUUUCUCGCACAGGAUGACAUUGCAGAUCCGAGGUCGGAUCUUUCUCUACCCCGGGUGACCUGAUGCAGCGUGGAUCAUACUUCCUUUUCGGUUUUGGUUUUACCUUUACUUAAUUAUUCUUAUUCUAGAUAAUUGCUAAGUUUCCUAUUUACUUAUGAGAUUAGAAUUAAGACUUAUGGAUAUAAUGUUAGGUCAUAAUCCUUAAGGACUUAGGUCUUUUCCUAUUGUUAUAUAUACUAGGAUUCAAACCCCGCGAAUUCGCGGGGAAACUAUAUAUUAAAUUUUAUAUAUAAAGUGAGAUAUUUUAAAAUAAACUAUAAUUGAUACAAAAAUUAGAUAGAUAAAAAAAUACAACACAAUUUUUUAAUAAUAUAAAAUUUUAUUAAAAUAAAAAUACUAAUAAUUCCUUCAAAAAUUAGUUUAAUGCUAUAAAGAAUAUAUAAAUAUUCUUAAAAAUCAAAUAUCUUGUCAUCGUUGUCUAUUGCACUAUUAUCAACACUGAAUUGCUUAGAGUGGUUAUAUGUGAAAAUAUAUAAACUAAAAAUGAUGAUAAAAUACAUAGUUUUUAUAACAUUCCAUUCGAAUAUUAAGAUUACAGAAGGAAAAAUUGCAAAAUAAAAUAUAGUGAAAAUACAUGAAAAGUAAUAUAUAUGAUCAUAAAACUAUUUAAGUGAUCAUAAAACUAUUAAGGUAAAAACGUAUAUAACAAAAAUUGGUGAAACAAUAAUAUUUAUAUAAAAGAGACAAGUGUUAAAAGAUGUUACCCCAACAGAUGAAUUUGUUAGAAUGAAUAUAUUCAUGCGAAUAUUAUAUUGGAUAAACAUAAUUGUAUGGUACGCUGCUGGCUUUUGUUUCGUACAUGUUUGGUUGAAAAUUGAACAUAUGUAAAAAUUUUGACUACUUAGGCUUUGAUUGGUAACAUGUGAUAACAUUGAUUUAGUUUGAGUUAAAGGUGUAACUCAUAGAUAACUCAAAAAUGUCACCAAUCAUGUAUUAAAUUUAGUUUUUUGAUUUUACGUUUGAGUUAACAUGUAUUAUGGUUGAAUUUAAAAUCUUUAGAAAUCAAAAUUUACACAUUAAUAUAAAUCUAAAACACGUAGAAACUGACUUCUACAGAUUUACUGUAAAUCUAAAACAUGUAGAAAUCAAAAUCUACACAUUACUAUAAUUCUAAAAACCUGUAGAAACCGAUUUCUACAUAUUAGAUGUAUUCUACGGAUAAGAAAUCAAUUCCUAAAAAUAUGGAAACAAAAUAUUUGGGAAUAUUCACUUUCAUAUUUUGAAAAAUCGAUCUUUUAAAAAAAACGAAAAAAGUGGUAACCUUCUUCUCACGCCGUCUUCUAUAUUCCAUUGAUUGUUCAAAAAAAUUUCACAUUAAUUCAACCAUGAUUCAUAUCUAUGCUUUCACAGAUCGAUCGGUCUAUAAUUCAAGAUCGGUCGAUCCGUAUGAAAUGGACCUUUGACUAUCGAGUGAAAUGGACAAGGUCGAUCAGUAUAUGCUCCGCGUUUUUUUUGUUCUGCUUAAUGAUCAGGAUCAUCAAUCAUGUAUUAAAUUUAGUUUUUUGAUUUUACGUUUGAGUUAACAUGUAUUAUGGUUGAGUUACAAUUUUGAGUUAUACCCUUUAUAAAAUUGUUAAAUCAAAACUUAAUGCAACAUCAUGCCUAAUCUCAUGUUUUAGAGUUGAGAUACAGUCAUAAUUAAAGUUUCUAUCAAAAUUACAAGUGAACAUAAUAAAUUCCAAACACACCACGUAAAAAAAAGCUUUCAUGUUCAAUGUUUUGGAAUUUUUUGUUUGUAAAUAAAAUGUUAUUUAUAUUUCCAAGACCACCAUGGCAAUAUCUUAUUCUUAUUUCUAGAAAUAUUUUGGGAAAAUUGUUUUUUUAAAGCAAAAAAAAAUGAUAACUAUGUUCUUUUAAACUAAUAUCUAUUUUGUGUCAUUUUUACCUAUAAUACCCUUUAAUAUUUUUGAAAAUAAAAUUUAAUAAAUAGUUUUACAAACAAAAAAAUUUGGAAAAAUAGUAACUAUUGAUAAAAUACCUAUAUGAACUUAGUGAUAUUUUUUUCAGUUCUAAAAAUGUUUAAAACAUAAUUUUCAGAUUCUGUUCUAAAUAAAGUAGAAAUGACAUUCUACGAAGUAGAAAACGAAAUCCAUUUUUUUAUUGAAUUUAAAAUGUUUAGAAAACGUGAUCUACAUAAAUAAGAGUAUUCUAAAAAUAUUUAGAAUACACAUUCCGCGCUGUACCUACCGAUUUAAAAUCUUUAAAAAUCAAAAUUUACACAUUAAUAUAAAUCUAAAACACGUAGAAACUGACUUCUACAAAUUUACUGUAAAUCUAAAAUAUUUAGAAAUCAAAAUCUACACAUUACUAUAAUUCUAAAAACCUGUAGAAACCGAUUUCUACAUAUUAGAUGUAUUCUACGGAUAAGAAAUCAAUUCCUAAAAAUAUGGAAACAAAAUAUUUGGGAAUAUUCACUUUCAUAUUUUGAAAAAUCGAUCUUUUAAAAAAAACGAAAAAAGUGGUAACCUUCUUCUCACGCCGUCUUCUAUAUUCCAUUGAUUGUUCAAAAAAAUUUCACAUUAAUUCAACCAUGAUUCAUAUCUAUGCUUUCACAGAUCGAUCGGUCUAUAAUUCAAGAUCGGUCGAUCCGUAUGAAAUGGACCUUUGACUAUCGAGUGAAAUGGACCAGGUCGAUCAGUAUAUGCUCCGCGUUUUUUUUGUUCUGCAUAAUGAUCAGGAUCAAUCGAUCAGUUCGACCUUGUAAUUUCGGAUCGAUCGAUCCCACUUGAUCGAACUCAUUAUUUAUUAUAUUUAAAAAUUACAAUUUUAAGGGAAUUAUUGCUAUUUUGAAAAUAGUUAACCUAACGGGACAUAAAGUAUAUGUGAUUAGUCUAAACGGACAUAGUUAUCAUUUUUUGCUUUUAAAAAAAAAUUUCCCAAAUAUUUUUAACAAUAUUAUACAACUUCACCUAAUUUUGUGUUAGUCAAAGAUUUUUUAUUCUAUUCCUUUUUCUUAUUUUUGUAUUAUUAACUUCUUCUUUUUAAUUAUUAUUUUACAAAAUCUUAUUAUUUGUAAAUUUUAUUUGUAAUAGAAAUUUAUAAAUUAUUUUGUUAUUGAUAAAUAUUAUAAUCCGUAAUUAUAGUUCUUAGAAAAAUAUAUAUUGCAACAUAAUUUUUGUUAAAAUUUAUUUUAUACAUUUAUUUUUAUUAUUUAUUUAUUUUUAAUAGGUUAAUGUUUUUUUGUUAUUAAUAAUAAUUCAUUGUCUUAUGUUUAUAUUUAUUUGAUUAAAAACCAUACUUUAGAUUGUAACUUUUAUUUUUACUGCAAACUUACCACAUAAAGUUACAGUUUUUACCACAUGAUUUUUACCGCAAGUUACAUCGAAUUGUAAUACAUAUUGCAACUCGAUUUUAAUACUACAUGUCACCAGUCGGAGCCUUAAUAUUUUUACUCAUACAUAAUAUCUUUAUAACUCUUCAUAAAAUAAUUGGUUAUAGUCACAAAACUAUAUGAUGAUUAUAAGAAUUUUUUUUCUUUUCAGUUUCAAGAUUCAAACCCAUGAAUUUUUCAUAAAAUUGUUGAUUGAAAUUAAAAAGCUUAUUUUCCUAGAAUUUCAUGUAUUUUGCAAAAUCCAGUAUGAUCAUUAAUCACCAUGAUAUCUAUGAAAUUAUAAUUUUAUAGUGAACUAAUUUGAAAAAUAAGCAAUUGAUCUGGUGUAUCCAAAGUGAUGCUACUUUCAUGGCAUGUUUUCCACUUUUCAUCUAUUUCACAUAUCUAUACUAUUAAAACACAAUCCUUACUAAGAUUAUGUCCUUAUUUUUCAACUUAUUUACAAGAUUAUGCCGUUUCAUUAUUUAAUUUUUAAUUUUUAAUUAAAACCGUAUGGGUAACACCCACGUUUUAAUCUCUUUAUUUUUUAGUUUUUUGUUAUUAACUUUAUAAAAAUAGUUGAACCUAUGGCUUUUUUUCACUCAUCGUUCAUAAACUAAUUGUAACUAUAAUAUUAUUCAUUUUUAUACACAAAUAUAUGGUAACAUAAUUCACACAUGAUUUAUUCUGAAACACACUAAACAUCAAUACGUAUUAUAUUCUCUAAAUUCUUGAUAUUACCCAAUACACAAACCCUAAACCAUAUUUACAAAAUCUAUACUAUUGUGUCUAAUAGCCGACUGCAAAAAAUAUCAUUAUUGUAAAACUCUCUACAAAAAGUAUCAUUAUUGUAAAACCCUAAAUUCUUGAUAUUACCCAAUAACGUUACCAAACCACUAAAUAUUCUUUGUAGAGAGUUUUACAAUAAUGAUAUUUUUUUGCAGUCGGCUAUUAGACAUAAUAAUAUAGAUUUUGUAACCAAAUGAAAAUACAAUCUACUAUUUAUUAAUUGAAGGAAUCGAGUAAGAGACUUAACUUCUUCAUAAAAAAAACAAAUCGUUACCAACAAAAUUGAAGUCAGUGAUCUUAAACAAUUCUUAACAAAAUAAAGUAACUUCCAUUGUAGUUAAGAAUAACUUAGGAAACAAUAUAAUCCAUUAACUACAAUAUCUAUAAUAUUUAAUUCGUUGGAUUCAAAUCCCCAUAUUUCAGAAACUUAAUACAGUCCUAAGCCGUGUAAGAGAAGUUGAGAAAAAUACCCUCAUGUUAGCCAAGGUCGGAGAUAAUGGGAAAAUGCCUCGCUUAGGUUUUAGAAUAAUAACAUCCAAAGUUGCAUGUUUCCUACGCAUGAAACAUUUAGCUUAAGCUAAAUAUGUUGCUUGUAACACAAGUAACAAGAAGAUAACACUUAGCUGCUGCACGGCUUGGACUACGGUUGAUGAUGGUGGCUGGCUCAAACUCGGUGAUCAUGAAACGACUCUCCGGUGACAUGGCUUUCCCCUCCUAUGUCUCACGGUUAACGAUGGUGGUGGUUGGUGUUAAACGCCGCAACUCCAAUUUAGAUCGUGCCUCCUCCGCAUCGCUCGGUUAUGAUCACGGCUACGUCGAGAGUUGAUAAAGGCUCCGGCGGCACGGCAAGGAUCUCGGACCCUCCUCCGAUGAGAUGAUGACUUGGUGAUCGGCACCGGAAGUGCUCUACGUGAUGGCUCCGCGUACGUGCGUCUCUUCUCUACAUCAAAGCCUCUCGGAUCCGAUGCACAGCGACCAAAAGAGAGAGGCGAUGGAUCUCUAACGGCAAGGCUUGUCUCCAGCACCGUGUUACAUCUCCUUCAGUCAUAUACUGAACUUGAUGACAAUAUAUAGAACUGGUUUUUUGAAUUUGAUGUUAUUGGGAGAGUUGGUAAGUUAUUGGACUGGUCAUUCUCCUUCAGUCAUAUACUUUCACACAUGAUGUUGCAGAGGGAGGAUCCCUUCCAGAGUUUUGGAGAAGUUAGUUUGUAGUACGUUGCUUUUCGGAUCAUAUAACAAGACACCGCAGCGUAUAAACAAUUCACUCACUUCUUCUCCUCUUUGGUCUGGAGUUUCAGGGUAUCUAAUCGAGCAAGCAAUUAGGGAUUAAUCUUUGACAUUGCCUUGCCUUGUAAUAAUGUGAACACAGCAAACUAAUGAGCUUUAGGUAUAAUCCAUUGCAACCUUUCACCAACCUCAUUUAUCAAGGAACCUUCAAUAUCAACUACGUGUCUGUUAAACGGGAGAGACUGGUGCGGCAGUAAAGAAUGUUGGACAAAAUAAAGAGAACAAAAUACAUUUGGAAAAUUUAUCUUUUAUUGUUGACACUUUUUACAUAAGACAACAUGACUUACAUAUAUUUCUUAAGUAACCGUAAAGAAAACUACUUGUGACUCUUCCAACAAGUCACGACUUUACAAACAAUUCACGACUUUACAAAUGCACCUAUUGGGUUUACAGUUACUUUAUAAUUAUUAUCUAAUCAUACCAAACUCAAUUAUAAUAAACUAACAAUGGAAAACCUUAUAUUUACUCUUUGCCAGGACGUUUACUCGUCCUUCUCUCUGCUUCUCCGUGAAGGCUUUUCUUUCACAUGUUACAAGAUUGAUGAAACUAAAAAAUAUAAUCACAACUUUUUAUGAACUCAUCGUUGGUUUCUUUCUUCAUCUGUUUUUACAGUGUUUCUUUCUGAGGAACAGAACAACACAACUAUAUGAAAUCUUUUAAUCACUCAAAACUCAAAAGCAUGAAAUUUACAUUAAUACGUACCUUCUAUUAUGAAUAGAUUAUGCUUGUAUUUAUAAAUUAAUGAUUUGUGACAUCAUAAAGAUCAGGUUCCCAUAGAAACGCACGGUUGGAGUCUCUCUACUUCUUUUCCAACUCCAAACUUCUCCACUUCAAGGCACACGCGUGAGUGAUGCACUUAUGGAUGUUAUUAAGGCUGUGCUGGACCAUACAAGUAAAAAUACAUUUUAAUCAACUGCAGUAAGAAAAACUUGGGAAUUUUCCAAUUUCAGAGACAAAAUAAGUCGAAAUCUAUAAGUAAUCUGAGAACAUAGAUUGUUCUUCGGCCAAAAAAAAUACGUGAUUCACUCCAUCUCCUCCCACGCAGUACCAAACAGUUAAUUUUUUUUUGAAAAUCUGUCCCUUUAAAUAAAACAACGAACACUGGAUUGAUUUAUUUCCAGAUAAUAAACGAAGUAAAAAAACCAAAGACAAAUACAUGUACUACGAUGGUGAUGAACUGUAUGAGAGAAAUUCUUACAUCUAAAACUGGAUGAGGAUGAUGGACAAUGUAAAUGGACAGAAUGAUGAUGGAAUAUGCAAAGGGAUAAGAAAUCUGAAACUUCAAUAUAUAGAUGGAUUUUAGAGACGGGUUGAAUCCGAAAGGAGGCAAAUGAGGUGUCCUUUGCAAAGAGGUGGAUGUAUAAGGGGUGCUCGUUCAGAGAGCAGUUGAUUGAGACGCCUUUUGGUGAAAGAGAUUGAUGACGUCGGAUCUUAUAAAUAAGAGAUGAUCAUGUCCGUUAGAUUACAAAAUAUUGUUAAACUAAACCGUUAGAUUUAAAUUUUAUUUUCCUAUAAAAAAAUAAUUAAGUCAUCUAGCAUCAAAAUUGGGUUUGCUAUUAUAUAUAGAUAGUGCUCUCUAGGUUUGUAAGGAGACACAUUAUUAUUGAUUUAUAAAAACAGAGUUUUGGCUUUAAAACUCUUGAUUACGGCUAGUUCAUUGGUUGAACUCAACGGAUUCAAGUUCAUAGGCACGUUUGGGCAUUCUCAGACUAAACAAUCGUUCCUAUUCUAUCGGUUACUGUAUCACUAUGUAAUUGCAAUAUUUUGCCAUCAUCUACUACAACACCUUCCGCAAGCUCCAGUCGCACACGUUCGAGGCAUUGCAUUCUCCCAAUAAAGCUCUUCAAGUGUUUCAACUCUUGGGUUUAGUGUUAUAAGAGCAUGAUUAUCGCAAAAUAGGUCGAAGAGUUUCUAAUUUUUUUUUUUUUUUUUUUUUUUUUUUGUCCUGAAUUUUUUUUUUAAAAAAAAAACCCAAUCGCGGGCCACCACGUGUCAGUGGGGCCCGCGAACAGUACUUGAAACCAACAAUAGUCGAUCUUUAUUAGAUCACUUUUGGCAUCAGUUUUAUAGUGAUAUGUGGGGUCCGCCACUAACUUUUUCGCUAAAACCCCUGUUGGAAACCACCGAUAAAGAUAGUCUAAGACCAUCUCCAACAAUAGAUCCUUCAUUAGAGUUCUAAAUCAAUUUUUUAAGUAAAAUUAAUCAAAUUAAACAUUUUAGAUCCUUGUUUAAUUUCAACCUCUCCAAUGGUAGAACCUAUGAAAGGUUCUAAAUUUCAAAAAUUGGAAAAUUUGUAAUAAUAGAUUACUUGCAUCACAAGCUUUGUGAUCAGUUUACAAUUUGUGAAAGGUAGAAGCACAUAACUUGGCUAGACUGCUGCCAAUUUGAGAGUCUAUUACGCAACUUGCUUCUCACUCACCGCUGGGAUUAUCCUCUUCAAUCUCUUCACCGUUUUCUCUGUACCACCAACAAAGCAAAUGAGACUACACAAUUAUAAUCACAAAAAAAACUAAGCAUCGAGUGAAGAAGUUAGAUGAAACUAAGCACAUACUGAAAUAAAAACAGAACAAAAAGCAGAGACUAUUGACUCCAAAAUCGACAAGAGGAAACACAAUCAUGAGACACAAUCAUAAGACACAAUCAAAGGAUCAAUACAUAGAAAGCAAUCAUAAGACAAAAUAUAUCAUUCAUCCGUUCUUUAGCCAAGCAGACUGACUCCAAAAACAAAAACAGAAACAAACUGACACCAAAAACAAAUUCAUAAACAAACUGACUCAACAAACUGACACCAAAGACUGACUCUAUCACUUAAGACAACAUUUCACUUAUUAGUUUGUUCUUCAAAGCCACUUCAGUCUCACUAAGAGGCUCUUUUUUAGCAAGGAGAGUCUCCAACAUAUGUUGCUUAUUAAGCUUGUCCUUCAUUUCAAAGUCUUGCUUCUUCAAUUCAUGAUCCUGCUUCCUUAUCUCCAACAAACCUUGUAACUUCUCCACAGUGUUGCUGCUGGUUGCUUCCAUCUCUUUGGCACUCAGUUGCGCUUUCAACCUCGACUUUGCCUUCUUCACACCUUCAGGACGAGCCCCUUCUUCAUCUACAUGGCUCGAUGACUGGACAGAAGCUUGAGAACCAUCUUCAACCUUCCUUCUUUUUGACUUGCUGUUAUCUGUCCCGAAAGUUGCCAGCCACUUAUGUUCAUAUUUUAGCUCCCUCCAGCAAUGCUCCAGUGUGAACUUGGCACCAUAAUCAUGAUGAUAUAUUUCAUUAGCAAGCUUCAUCACAUCAUUGUCAUUCUGCCCACUUGACUGCUGACUUGUUGCAGCACGUAAGGAGCCAACAAACUUGGAGACUUGGUCACUGAUCUUGGACCACCUUUGCUUACAAUUGCCAACCUCUCUAUCUGGCAUACCAACAAGCUGAGGACUUGCGUUGAAGUAAGCUCCAACUCUUUUCCAAAAGGAGCCAGCCUUUUGCUCAUUCCCGGUAGAGCUGGAAAUUUUAAUCAUUGCCCGCGGGCCCCGCCCCGUUUGACCCAUCUAUACUAUUAAAACACAAUCCUUACUAAGAUUAUGUCUUUAUUUUUCAACUUAUUUACAAGAUUAUGCCGUUUCAUUAUUUAAUUUUUAAUUUUGACCCGCGAACCCAGCACUAAUUCCCGGUGACCGGAUCUUUGCUUGUGUUAAGCCAAGCACUUAUGAGCACCACAUCUUCCUUCUGUGACCACUUCCUUCUGCCUCUUCUGUCUUCAUUUGUCUCUUCAGCUUGAGUUGGAUCAUUAGUCCACUGGGAACUUAAAAAAGGAACUUCUGAAGAUCCAAAUGCUACGCUUUGUGAGACAGGAUCACACUGUUGGCUAGUUAAAAGAUCCAGGAACCCGGAAGACUGAGUAAAUGGAUUUGAAGAAUCCAUUACUACUUUCUGGUGAGAAAGGAGAAGGAGAGAGUGAAGUAAUGGAGAGACAAAGAGAUGAAGAAGGACGAGCAAUGGAGAGACAAAGAGAUGAAGAAGGACGAGCUGUUUUGCUUUCAUUUAUAACCAGUGUGUUUAAAUGUUUCAAUUGGGUGGUGUUAGCAAUAAAGUCUUACCUAAAUUUGAUAAGACAGUCCUAAUUAAAGCUAACUACCAAGAGUGUAAAUGAAAGCUAACUACCAGAAGAUAAGGUGUGAUCUGAAACAAACCUGAUUUAGUUGCUUCAGACAUUCCUUUGAGUUGUAAUCGUCAGAAAUGCUAGCUCUCGCAGCUGCUGUUUCUUGUAGACAUCAUGCGUUUCCUCCUUAAACAUAAAACAAGUGUAAAAACUUCUAAUAUAUGAAACGGUACUUCAUAUCAUUAGCCGGUUUUGAAACUAAAGGGGAAAGCGCUUAAAACAAACCAUAGGAGUAAGAAGAUCAUCGAGUAUCUCAUGAGCUUGCAUGAGACGUGCAUCAAUGAUCUCAAUUGGUAACUCUGCUUCGAAUUAUUAAACAUUGUAAUAUAUAUAGACUACAAAUGAAUGAAUAUGUGAAGGAAAAUAAUAUAUACCUUAACUGGACAAUCAGUGCUUGCUUCAACUCGCUUCCUCUUAUAAGAACACGACAAUCAGUGCUUGCUUCAACUCGCUUCAAGGAGUUUCCUCUAGGACCGAGGAGACGUAGAGUUGCAUAAUAAAAUAACAAAAAAGAAUAUCAGAAACUUGCUCUCUUGAGCACUGUGACCUGUAGCUGCUAUAAUCCUAAUAUUUUUUGCAUAGAGUGGUUACACUAAUGAGCUAGCUUACAAACUUCGAACAUCAUAUUACUUUAUAAACCCUUGGAUAUAGCCAAACUCAUCAUCACACAAAGCAACUCUGGUUACUGGUUUACGAGAGCAGUUGACACAUAUAACAGUAGUCAUAGCCUAGACAGAAACCUAGCACCAAAUGCCCAAUCUACAAGAACAUAUCCAAUUCUUGUCAUCUAAAAACUAAGCCAACUAAUCAAAAUUCCAAUUAGAUGAUCACCUGAUUCGAACCUAGGAACCUGAAUCCAAUUAGAUGAUCACCUGAUCUUCACCCGAUCCAGACGAGCUAACGCUUGAAACAGAACCCGAUCCAGAUACCGAUCCGUUCACCUGAUCGUUAGAGAGCGACGGGAGGGGAACAUGGUGAGAUUUCUUCUCGUCGGAGAAACCAGAGGGUCCGGCGAAUUCGUGGUUUGAAGAAGAAACGCACCUCCGCCGUACAUGGCUGCCGGAGAGCUCCUCAGAGGGUUUAAACACGAAGGGAUUCUCUGUAAUCCCGGGUUCAACAGAUCGAGAGAGACAAAGAUUUUUGGCGAAAUCGCCGAAGUUCAUCGAGAAAAGAGAGAGAGAGAUUUUUCCGCGAAAUCAGAAAGAAAAAGAGAACAAUUGAGUUAAAAAAAAAACCAAUCACCCAAAGACACGUAUUGGCAUAGAAGUGGUUCCAAAACAUCUAAAUUUAGAACCAUAUCUACCUAAUUUUUCUCUUUCUGAUUUAAUUUUGGACAUUUAAUGAGCUAGAACCAUGCCAUUAAUUUCUCUUAGAUACACCAUUGGACCUGCUCUAAGAUUCGGUGUUUAGAAUCUUGCAAUGUCUAAUUUUUAUUGCAAUUAAUAUUAUUUUUACAUUUGUUUUCUAAACAUGAUAUGAUAGGUGACAACCUUUUAUUGGUUAGUAUUUAGGGAUGAACCCAAGAAAUACUCUUAUUCUUCUAUUUUGAAGAAAAAUAUAGAUUUAGAACACUAUUUAAAGUGUGAUCCAUAAAAAUUAUAAUUAACAGAUGAAAAAACUCUUUCUUGUGGCAAGACAAAAAGAAAGGCUUUCUUUGGCAUGAUUGGUAAGUAUUCAAGUAACUGAGAGUAAAAAAUGGAGAAAUUAUAAGGAAAAUAAAAAUUUUUAAUUAAAAUAAAAGAAAAGAAAAUGGUGAUUGGUAAAGGAUUAGAGUAAAUGACAAUAAAUGAGAGUACAUAAGUAAUUCAAAUUUUUAAUAUUUGUUAGAUUUAAACAGUAUGGCAAAAUUACAUAUGACAUUAUACUAUAAUAUAUUUAAUAAUUUUAAAUGUAUUACAAUACACAUUUAACUGAAAAAUCUUUUCACAAUAAAUAAAUAUAUUUUAAAAUGAGAGGUGGGUUUAAUUAAUGACGACAUAGAGGUUUACGUUAAUUUGCGCUCUAUAUUUGUUCGAAAAUCUGAUCACGAUAUUAUUUAUGCCAAGAUAUUUAUGCCAAGAAGAAAUAUUAUUUUCAUCAUUGUUGGAAAUAUUUAAGCCAAGAAGAAAAUCUUCAUGCUUAAAGCAAAAUGUCGGCAUUAUUCUCUUGAAAAAACAUUUUUCGGUCUAUGGGUCAUGUUUUCCCCUGCUUCAAGACCAGAAAAAGAAAACUUUUAGAUAACAAAAAUCUUUCCAUUUCUCUAUAAACCCUUGGAUAUAGCCAAACUCAUCAUCACACAAAGCAACUCUGGUUACUGGUUUACGAGAGCAGUUGACACAUAUAACAGUAGUCAUAGCCUAGACAGAAACCUAGCACCAAAUGCCCAAUCUACAAGAACAUAUCCAAUUCUUGUCAUCUAAAAACUAAGCCAACUAAUCAAAAUUCCAAUUAGAUGAUCACCUGAUUCGAACCUAGGAACCUGAAUCCAAUUAGAUGAUCACCUGAUCUUCACCCGAUCCAGACGAGCUAACGCUUGAAACAGAACCCGAUCCAGAUACCGAUCCGUUCACCUGAUCGUUAGAGAGCGACGGGAGGGGAACAUGGUGAGAUUUCUUCUCGUCGGAGAAACCAGAGGGUCCGGCGAAUUCGUGGUUUGAAGAAGAAACGCACCUCCGCCGUACAUGGCUGCCGGAGAGCUCCUCAGAGGGUUUAAACACGAAGGGAUUCUCUGUAAUCCCGGGUUCAACAGAUCGAGAGAGACAAAGAUUUUUGGCGAAAUCGCCGAAGUUCAUCGAGAAAAGAGAGAGAGAGAUUUUUCCGCGAAAUCAGAAAGAAAAAGAGAACAAUUGAGUUAAAAAAAAAACCAAUCACCCAAAGACACGUAUUGGCAUAGAAGUGGUUCCAAAACAUCUAAAUUUAGAACCAUAUCUACCUAAUUUUUCUCUUUCUGAUUUAAUUUUGGACAUUUAAUGAGCUAGAACCAUGCCAUUAAUUUCUCUUAGAUACACCAUUGGACCUGCUCUAAGAUUCGGUGUUUAGAAUCUUGCAAUGUCUAAUUUUUAUUGCAAUUAAUAUUAUUUUUACAUUUGUUUUCUAAACAUGAUAUGAUAGGUGACAACCUUUUAUUGGUUAGUAUUUAGGGAUGAACCCAAGAAAUACUCUUAUUCUUCUAUUUUGAAGAAAAAUAUAGAUUUAGAACACUAUUUAAAGUGUGAUCCAUAAAAAUUAUAAUUAACAGAUGAAAAAACUCUUUCUUGUGGCAAGACAAAAAGAAAGGCUUUCUUUGGCAUGAUUGGUAAGUAUUCAAGUAACUGAGAGUAAAAAAUGGAGAAAUUAUAAGGAAAAUAAAAAUUUUUAAUUAAAAUAAAAGAAAAGAAAAUGGUGAUUGGUAAAGGAUUAGAGUAAAUGACAAUAAAUGAGAGUACAUAAGUAAUUCAAAUUUUUAAUAUUUGUUAGAUUUAAACAGUAUGGCAAAAUUACAUAUGACAUUAUACUAUAAUAUAUUUAAUAAUUUUAAAUGUAUUACAAUACACAUUUAACUGAAAAAUCUUUUCACAAUAAAUAAAUAUAUUUUAAAAUGAGAGGUGGGUUUAAUUAAUGACGACAUAGAGGUUUACGUUAAUUUGCGCUCUAUAUUUGUUCGAAAAUCUGAUCACGAUAUUAUUUAUGCCAAGAUAUUUAUGCCAAGAAGAAAUAUUAUUUUCAUCAUUGUUGGAAAUAUUUAAGCCAAGAAGAAAAUCUUCAUGCUUAAAGCAAAAUGUCGGCAUUAUUCUCUUGAAAAAACAUUUUUCGGUCUAUGGGUCAUGUUUUCCCCUGCUUCAAGACCAGAAAAAGAAAACUUUUAGAUAACAAAAAUCUUUCCAUUUCUCAAGAUAUUUUAAGCAUGAGACAAAUGGAGAAGUGGAGUUUGUGGAUCCCAACGUGGAGAUGUUCUCUCGGGGUUCAAACUACCCCGAGCCCUCUUUAUUGGUUGACAUGAUGAACCUUUGUCACCACUUUAUUUCUCUGCUAGAUUCGAUACAACUAGUUUCUUUUUUCCCAGCGACUCGUUCUUUUUCUUCUUUGGAGAAUCGAUCUUCUUUGACGGCGUAUCACCCUUCUUCUUCUUUAUCUUGGUGAGUCAUUUUUCAGUAUUGUAAUAUGGUGAUUUGGUUCAAGGUCGUUGUUGUUGAGGACGGUUGAAGAUCGUCGUUUGACAGAAAGAGUCGAAGAUGGUGUUUGAAGUGGUUCCGAAAUGGGGGAAAUUUGGGAUGGGAUUUUGCGAUUUAGGGUUAGUUCGGGUGGGUUUCGAGUCAAUUUUCAGGUCAUGUUAUGGAUAGGAUAUGAGUAGUCGGGGUUGUAAUUCUGUUUAAAUUCAUUUUCAAUUUAAAUUUAAUAUAAAAUAAAAAGAAUUAUGAGGAUGCAUAUUAGAUUAUUUCAGUUCCUUAGAGGACCAUAUCAGAAAAUUGAUCAUUUUUAUUCUUCUUCCAUUUCAAUAUGUAAGAUAUUUUUUAAAAAAUCGUUGUUUCAUAAUGUUACAUGUUUUAUAACUUUAAAUUUAUCAAAAUUGUGUACCCAAUCGUAUUUAUACUGGUUUUUAUAAUCAAAGAAAUUAAUUUUAAUUUAUAACUUUAAUGAUAAUUAUUUGGAGAAAAUAGAUUUCUUAAUAUGUGUGUUGAAGUAAAACUACAUACAUUAUGAAUCAAAGACAAUAAUGGGACUGGUCGGGCUGUAGCAGGUGUUUCUAGUUUUAGCUUUUAUCUAUAACAAUAAAAAUUACUAAUCAUAUUUUAUGUAGUUUGUAAACUUAAGCAAAAAAAGAAAGAUGUAAAAACUUUGUUUUCUAAAGCAGAAAAGACAAAUUGAUGUAAGAACAUCUUUUUUUUUUCUUACUUAAUUUCUAAAGGUACAUUAGAGCAUGUUUAUUGGUAAAUCCCAUUUAAAGGUUUUUACUGAAUUUUUAACUCUUAAAAGUGAGAUAAGAAACUUUGUUAAGAUACACUUUAUUAUAAUGGUUUAUUGGUAGUUUCUUAAUAAAAGCUCAAAGAAUGUUGUUACAAAAGUAUGUAUGAACUUUUGAUACUUUUUCAAAUCCUACUCACAUUAAUGUCUACAUUUGGCAUUAAAAAUAGAGUAGUGUACUUGUAGCUGAUGUACAAAACAAAGAUUACAAGGAGGAGAUGCAUUGUUGAGUAACAAGACUGUUGCUGUGUGGAUCAUUCUUUCCAGUUAAAAGGAGCACGAUCAACAACUAAGUAGUCCCCUCUGAUGUCCUUGGCCACUCUGAUGUCACCAUCCAUAUACACAUUUUCAAACCUGCAACCUGCAACCAAAUUCUUAGUCUCAAAACAACCUGCAGACUAAGAAGAAGAACUCACCAGCCCUGGCCAAAUGGUGGCAGUGGGAUCUCCCAAUUGCUUCCUCUCAACACGGCACUAGUGAUUGAUCACAUUGCUAAGUCAAUCCGACGUGAACCAAUCACAUUGCUUUUACAAAAGCUUAAUAAUACACACUUUUUUUGGCUCAGAACUUCUAGAGAGAGAACAUAAAAUUCAACAAACUAUUCUAAAGAAGAAAGUGACUUUUCUUAUUCCUAUUAAUACUAUCUCUCUCUGGAGCUCUGUUACUUCAUUUUCUCCACCUUUCUUCUCCUCAAAAGUUCAUAUAAAGAAAAAACAGAGCUUUCUUCUCUUUCAUUGUUCCUUUACACAGCAUUGCAGCUUUUAAUAAACUAAAUGUGGAGACAUUCUUGCUGUUACAAACAAAAGCUGAAAAAAGGGCUUUGGUCUCCUGAAGAAGACGAGAAGCUUCUCAAUCACAUCAUCCAUCAUGGCCAUGGCUGCUGGAGCUCUGUCCCUAAACUCGCUGGUAACAUUCCUUAAUCCAAGAGAAAAAAAACUACCUUUUUGUAACUAAAAGUCUUGAGUCUGGUACAGGUUUGCAGAGAUGUGGAAAGAGUUGUAGACUGAGAUGGAUCAAUUACGGGCGGGAAAGUGAUGACGUUGUUGAGCGUCCCUUUCGUCACAUCGAUCACCUGCAGUACCUCUCCUGCGCGCGUGCCGAACAAUCCCGCCUUCUCUAUGAUGAACAGCUGUCUUUCUCCGUCGUCCACAGUAGUCUCCACGUGGCAGACAGCGAAUCUCCUGUGGUGACAGAGCUUCCCCCGAUCACCGCCAAGGCCGGCCCUGAGAGAGUUUGGAGACCCAAGACCAUUUAGUGAAGACUUCAAAAAUUUGGGGGCCUAAAAUUUUUUUUUUUACAAAUUGGGAGCCUAUUUACAUAUAAAAAUUUUCAAAAAUUUUGAGGGCCCAAGACGAAUGUUUCAUUGGGCUUAACCCAGAACCGGCCCUGAUCACCGCCAUGGCCUCGAUGGCAUUCACGAUCGCGUCUUGCUUCAUGGCGUCUUUCUGGGUUCUCAGGCCUUGGUCCUGGUCGGAGAUGAGAUCCAUCAGGUUCCGCUUGGCUCUGUGCGGCGAGCGAACACUUUGUUCCAAAACUGCGACGGACCCCAAGCGGAGAAAAGACGAAACCGAGACCACCACCUCUCUUUUCUCCUGUGAACUUCAGAGACGUGGCACUAAGAAACGGGCUCUUUGCUCUCUUAAUUAAGCAACGCCCCUUAGCUUAAUUGCUCUUUUCCAUUUAAUUUUAAUCUAAAUUUAUCUAAGAGUCCUGCUUAAAAGCUACCAAUAAACAUGCUCUUAGAUACAAUUUUAUCCAAAAAUUCUACAUAUUAAAUUUUACUGUACAAUUAUAAGUCCAAUCAAUGGCCCACAAUAUAUACAUUUUAGUAUCAUUUAUGGAUGUUAUGUUUGAUUCAUUUAUUAUACACUGGUUUGAUUACACAAAAGCUAUUAUGUAUUCCGUUGUUUGUUCAGAUAACGGUUCAGACAUACUUGCCAGAUAGAAAAGAGACGUAAUCCAUGCAAUGCAUAACGGUAUCAUGUAUGGGCAUGUGUAUGAGUUUAUAACAAUCAGAUGUUUAACACAGUAUCAACAAAAGUUGCGACUCCCACACACUGACUAGUACGUGCAAACAGAAGGAUGGCGAAGAGAUCAAGAGAGAGACGGGGAUUUGUCUCCGAAUCCAGAGAACUAACUAAAUCGACAUGUUUUUAGAAAGCAAUCAGUUUGGUUCCCUCUUGUUUGUCUGAUUGAUGUUCUGCUUCAGUGACAUUUGACUUUCUGCGAAUAAGACCAGUCUGUAUAGAGAACAUAGAUGUUCAGAAAAUUCUUUUGCUCGAAUUGAAAAUUUGUUACAUUACGAGAAGACAUGCGCAAGCAAGAAAACUACAGUAAAAUAUAUGUUCUAAACAAAUGAUGUUUUAAACUAUAUAUUAUAUAUAACUAUCACAACUUGUACAACCUGAAGCCUCUUUUGUUUCCCCCCUUCAAAGCUUCUUCGAGAACACUCUAAUGGCAAUUCCAUCCAUACUCCAGGAAAAGAAUCGAUCAAUCAAAUAUGAUUAUCCAAAAUCGCUAUAUAACGGCUCUUUUCUUCACAACUUUACUCCUCAGACGAAGCGCGGGAACAGAUUUUCUCUAGAUGUAUAGGCCAAUCCUCUCCAAGAACACGUGGAUUCAACUCCACAGCAGCGCGAAGAUCCAACAUCGACACUCGCUGUCGCUGGACCAAACUCAAACAAGGCUUUAUCAGCCUUGUAAUAAACGCGUCCAACCCGCUAUUCAAAACAUUAGCAGAGCCCAUAGUUAACUUCACCCCUUCCUUCUCCAGCCUCCUCUCCAACACACUCUUCAACGUCGUCGCAUCAGGAAGCUCGCCACUGUUCUGACAACAAGUCUCGCCAAAAGACCUUCUAACUCCGGUUAACGAAACACCGAGCGGCGCGGUUAACUGACUCGGUACGCUUUGUUCAACCUCUUCUCCUUCUUCCAUUGGAAGUCUCAGCAUCUUCGACAUCGACUCGUCGUUCGUUGUCGUGAUGCUCUGAGGCUUCCCGAGCGGACCGAGAGGACUCGGCCGGUCUCUGAACUUCCUGGACCUGCAUUUUCGAGGCGACGGAGGUAACGCAGAUGAUCUCUUGAGGUACCUCGGAGGAGGAGGAGAUUUUGCGGCGGCUGCGUUCUUGAGGAGGGAACGUAGGAGACGGUUGUGGAGAGGGACGUGUUCUCUAGCGAUGGUCUUGUCGAGCUCGGACUUGGUUAUCCUCGAGGUGAGGAAUUUUCCGAGGUGGUCGAAGUAAGUGUUGGCUCUCGAGUGCCUAGUUUCUGGUAAAUUAGGGAUUUGAUCUCGAGAGUGUUCAAUCUGGAAGAGCAUUGAUCUGAUUCUGACCCCAUCUUCGGUUUACUAAAACCCAGAUUUUGAAAUCCAGCCUAGAAACCCUCAAUUCUCGAUUUGUAGACCUGAGUUUCGGAAAUCAAAUCACAGAUUCUUAGCUAAUUCGUCGAGAAUCGAGUUGAGAAAGUUAACGAAGAAGAAAUUGGGAGGAUCCAAGAGUUUUUAAGCAUUAAAUCAAAUCGAAAUUGAGAAGGGAGAGAUGAAACCCAGAACGAUAAUCGAAGGAUUGAAGGAGAGAUUAGAGUUGAGUACGAACCAGUUGAAGCGAUUGAUUUUUUAGCCGCGAAAUUUGCUUCUUUUUCUUCUUUUUUGUUGACGAAGAUUGUGCUUCUCUUUGUGCCCUAAAGGAAUUGUUGUUGUUUUUUCCUUAGUUAUUUUAUCGAGUUCGCUUUGUGUUUUGUUUGUCUGUUCGUUCGUCGUACGUGCGUUAAAUAGAGAGACCAAACCAAGGCUUUUAUUAAGUUAAAGAGAGUCAGUGCCCGAGAGAAAUAAGAGAACCUCGUCGUUGACUCUUUUCGGCUAGCGAUGUCGGAUACAUCUCACACACGUGCGAAUUUCAUUCCUUGUACACUCUUCUCUUUUUCUUCUAAGCGAAUUGUUAAAAAUGAUUUACAAUGCCGACUCAAAUACAAAACUGCGGGGAUAGUAGAUAGUAGGAACUAGAUUUUGUAUGAUUUUCUUUUUAUUAUUGUUACUAUACUAGUAUAUUGAUUAUAGCAUUCUUAUUAAAAAUACAGUGUUGUUCAUUCGAUGAUUGCUUAAUUACUAUUAAAAAUCAUUAUUAUAUCAAUUUUUCGUUUUUAAUAAUUCUACAAAAUAUAGUGGUAUUGAGACUGAAUUCUAGACAGUUUAACUAAUAAAAUCAAAAAUUUAAGAAAUCUGCAUAUUCAUUAGAUUUUAAAAAUCAUUAUAGUCGUAUAUUCUUAAAUAUGUAAAAAAUUUGUAAUAUUAUACGCUAAAUUCAAUCAAAUGCAAAAGUAAUCUAAAAUAGUAGUAUAGUCACAACUAUUACCUUAUGAUAAAAAACAAAUGUUACAAAAACUUUCAUUAUUAUAGCCUUAAGAAGUAUUCUCGAGACAAUGAAGUGUUUUCGAGAAGAUUUCUUAAAAAAUGUUACUCAUGUAUUUAACCUUAUAAUUAAUUUCUAUAAUUUUUAAAAAACUAUUUUGAUAGAAAAUAAAUUGACACCAUGUAAAUAUAAAAAAAAUUCUAAAACAUGUAAAUUUAAAUUUAAUAAAACUGAAUUGUUUUUUCACAUAGUUAAGUGAAUACUAACUGCAAAUCAUGAUUGUAUAUUGAUUAGAGUUUAGUAACAUGUCUUUAAGUAAUGUUUGUAUAUUUAAACUUAGAUUUUGGAGUACUGCAUAAUUUUUUUAAAUAAAAAUUUGACAUAUAAAAUAUUAUGUUUUGUAUAUAUUAAGCACUUUACAAGUUGAUUAUAUGCUUAAUGAACGAUUUAUUGAUACUUGAACAAUGAUGUUUUAAAUUAAGAAUACAGAAGAUGUGUGCAAUACUUUUGGGAAUAUGAGGAGGAAAGUGAGUUUGGAAAGAGGGGAAAAGAGUUUAGUUGAAAAUAAUUGUUUUUUUUAUUUUAUCUAGUUAAUGCUGUACUGCUUUUUGAUAUUUUACUUUUACCAUUUUUUUUCUUUUUUUGAUAAGAAUGUUAAUACUUAAUAUCAUUAUCAAAUAAUGAAUGAAAGAUGAUACAAGUAGAACUUGUAACACAGUCUGCUAACAAAGCCAAAUGUGAUUUGAAGCCCCAAAAAUUUUUUUUAAAAAAAACUCAAAUCACAGAAUAAGAUCUAGGAACUAGUUGUUGCAACAAUCCUAGGACUAACAACAGAUCCAAACCGACGGGGAAUUUUAACUCCAGAGAGGACAAUGCACCAAAACCUGCAAGUGAAAGCCAAAAUCCAGGGGAGAUGCGAGACAAAGACAAGUCUGAGUGAGACACCAACACUCAAUUCACGGGGGAGGCACAACUGCCCCGGACCAUGAGACGGCGAGCCCACACUAAACGAGCCAGAAGUAGGUGUCAACAGUCGAUUCACGGGGUUAUCACCACACCCCGGACCACGAGCUAGAAAGCCUACUCUUCUCUAACCAAAAUCCGAAAGCAUAAGACCGAGGAGACCCAAACAACCACCAGAUAACACAAAUAACUCCGAAUUAACAUUUUUAUAACUCGUAUCAAGAGACCAUAACGAUGACGAUUCUAUAAAAGACUACUCUAGAGGCCACUAAAUGUUUGAACUUAAAAGGCAAAAGAAAAUGCUCUGAAGUCUGUAAAAUGCAUUUUCGUCUAUACCAAAACAACUAUUACAUACUAAAACAUGCCAAUCGAAACAGAAACAGGUGACAAUCAAAUAUACUUUGACCCGCGAAACAAAGAAACAAAGGACAAGACUGUCACAAAGAACCGCAUCCCACAAUUCUCGAAAUCAACUUCUAACAAAACAUUUUCUAGUCGUCCCUCUCCGAUACGAUAUUUACCUCAUUGCUGCUCCUCGUCGGUUAUUUCUUGACCAAUUACCCGUUGUGCAAGUCUGUAGUAUAAAAUCCCCAUUGUUCCCAUACACGCUCUGCACAUCAGUCACCCAGUUGAGUUAUAUAUACUAACCGAUUUUACACCAAACAUUUUUAACAUAUCAAAAGCUAUAUUAAAAAUAAUAAUUAAACAAAGGUCUCACAUGAUUGCUAAGAAAAGGAGUAUUUUCCUUAUAUCCAUCCUUGAUGACCGAUGUCUUACACGUCCUUCUGAACCAUCUUCUGCCUUUGUUGGAUCUUUACGAGGUGGUGCAGUCACGGGUAGAGUAGGUAGCGCACUUGACCAGAAUGGUAGUAAAGCCCGCAGAAACUUGUGACGAAGUGGACCUUUACAUGAAACAAAAUUAUCAGUCUCACUCAGUAAAAGCAAAAUUUUCAGACAAGAGAGGUAAGAAAGAUAUGUUUAUUUUUUCUACCACCUCGUCUUGAGUACUUUUUCUUAUUCCCGUCUUCGUCAUCUGCAUAAUAUAGAGUCUCGGAGUUCUGUCUGUCCACAGCGGGUAUGCCUUUCCGUGCAGCAGCAACAUGCUAUAUACAACAUCGAUUGAUGGUUAGAGCAAUGGUGACAAAAACAUGCCACUGCAACUAGUUUGGAAGAAGAAUGUCUUACUCCAGGGCUUGAGGUUUUCAUGUAAUUCUCAGCAGAAGAAGGAACAUCUAUCUCAACUAUCUCUGAAACCGCAGAUUUGGAAUAUUCUCCAUUUUCAGCUAGAAGAUUCCUCCCUUAUUGUGUAUGAGCAUUAAUUAAUGCAUCUGAAGCAAAUGCAGGAGGUGGGCUACGAGAUUCUGUGGAUCGAGAAACUGGAUGGUUCCCAAAUAGAUUCUUUUCAAGACCAGUCUGCCAUAUAGACAGACAACAGAACAUAAAAAUCUAAUUGAACCAGUAAAUCCUUUAAGUCUAUGUUAUAGUGUUCACCAAUCAACACAAACGAUGUGACAAUAAUAUAGAACUGACCUGCAUAAUCGCUUCCCUUAACUGUGCAUGAAGCCGAGAUCCUGCAUCUUUUACCAUCUUGGGAGGCCAUAUCUGCAUUUUGAAGACCAUAUGAGAACUAUAAUACGGCACUCUCCCAAGCACAAUCAACAUUUCGAAGCAAGAUACAGCAUUUCCUCAAACCCCAAGGGCCAAAAAUAACCUAGAUAGCUAAAUCCAGUACAUUACAUCAUAGGGUGCACUAUUACACAAUACACACUAUAACAAAAUGAAGAAGCUCAAAAUAACAUUUUUAUUAGUGUAACAAAAAUCAAUAGGGCUUACAGGAGUGCUACAUGUUGGGCAGGCAUAACCAGGAGGUGCAGUAUGAGGAGGAAGGCUCUUGAUAAGUGAAACCAAGCAACUUGUAUGUAUAGCAUCUGAUAUCCCAAAUAAAAGGGUAGAGAUGGUUUCCAUUUAUUUUAAUAGUAGAAAAUUCAGAAAUAAAAAUAGUGGUAAGAGUGAGUGAGAUAACAUACGCAAGCAACCCAAACGAGUGAGUUGAUGAGCUCCGCCCUCAUCAAAGGCUGCUUGGCAUUGACAACACUUAGGCUGGUCAUACUCUCCAUCUAUCACCCAUUCUGAAUAAGUCCGGACCUAUUAUUGAUUACAACAUAAUAAUUAAAAAAAAAAAAACGUAUUUUAGCAUUAUCCCACAAUAUAUUAUAAAAUAUAUGAUGCUGAUUGCUGAUGAACAUACCACACAAGUUUGAUGCUCAGGGAAGCAAAUGCAUUCGCCACAAACAGGGACCUUGUGAACAAAGCAAUAUAGCUUCGUAGCCUGUAAGAAAAAUUAGAAGAAAAAAACAUUCACUUGAUUGAGCUCAGCAAAAAAAAAAUGCAAACAAAUCGAAAUCUAUUUAAUUAACUCAAAAUCCAAAAUCUCGAUCAGCAAAUGAAUUAAAUUAUACCUUUCUGCAUUUGCAGACCACCAUUGCGAAAGAUCAAGAUGGAGACUAGUGCGCUUAAUGAAUGGAGCAAGUGCGCAUUGCGGAAUCAGAUCGUGGAGGAGAAACCGAGAUGAUUCGAAAGUCGAGGUAAGCAAGCUCUCUCGACGAAACAAUUUAUUCUCAAAGAAAAUAAUAAAUUGAUACGAGAUUUUGGAGAAUCGAGACUGAGAAAUUGAGUAUGGAAGGGGAGAGAGAGGGAUGGAAGAUGAAAUAUGAGAAAGUACCAAGCAGAAGCGAUUGCUUAAUGAAUGGAGAGAACAAAAUAUUUCAUGUGUUUCCUCCAUACAUUCCAUUCUUAAAGUUAUUAAUUAUAUUUUAAAUUUUUGGUACAAUAAUUUUUUUUAUUUGAAGUCAUCAAUAGAGAAGAAAUGCCUUCAAAAUAUAAAAACAAAGGUUCCAAUUUUCUAUAGUUUACAUUCUUAAAUUUAAUAAUUAUUUUUUAAUCUUGAAAUCGCAUACAUUAUUCUUUAUAAGAUUCAAUAAAUUUAUGAAAACUAUAUUUAUAUUAAUAUUAUUUAACAUAUUAGUUUUUAUAAUUCCAAAUUUAAUAUACAUAUGUUAAAUAAAAUUAUUAUUUUUUAUUUUGUUGAGUUUGAAAUAUUAUAUCUCCAACCAAUUUUAAAUUUUAAACAUGAUUAUAGGAAACAUAGAAAAAAUGGUCCUUCUAAGUAAACAUCAAUUACAACAUUUGUAAGGUAAAGACUUGUUGAUUGAAUUUUCGACAAUGGAUUGAAUUGACCGGUAAGAAUUCUUAAUGCAAACUAUACAAUUCAAACUUUGACCAAAAAAGGAAAGAAAAAAAACUAUACAAUUCAAACAUGGGUUAAGAAGAUAAUACAAUAGACGUACGUGCUUAAGUACUACAGCUAAGAUCCCAAUUACGAUGCAACAGCCCAAUAAGUUGACAUGUGAACCAAAUCUAACCUGAAUCGGCUUCGAGAGUCCCAUUCUUGUGUUUCAUCUUUUCUCAGUUACCAAACCUAAAGGGUUAAACUGUAAAUCAAAGGGCAAAAGGUGAAUUAGUUGCAUCUGUAGGUUUGCAUGAGUUGCUGAUCAUUCAACAUACCUUGUACUGAUGACGUACAGAAAUCUUCAUAAGCCUUUGAGGAUUUUGUAGAGUCACAAAGUGCCCAAUCGUCAAUCCCAAGAUGACCCCUGGUGCUAAGGCUAUGGCAGCUGCAGUCCAGCUAAAAACUUUUUCUUCUUCUUCUUUCUCUUCUACAGAUUCUGGUUCUUGUAAUUGCUCUGUGUCUACGUCUCCGCAAUUUUUACCGAGAGGACGACCACAAAGUCCAAGGUUAUCUUCAAAAGACGAAGAAUCUUGUGUCUGAAACUGUACGCCUUGCGGUAUUGGACCGACGAGCUGAUUGUGGGAAACUCUAACCGUAGACAGACUCGUGAGGUACCCGAGAGCAGGUGGGAUUUGGCUUGACAGCUUGUUAUGCGAUAAGUCUAGGGACUCGAGCAUAGUUAGAUUGGCCAAAGACGAAGGGAUGUCUCCAGUGAAACAAUUGCUCGACAGAUUAAGCACAAUGAGACUCUUCAGUAGAUCAAUGGAUUUAGGGAUCUCACCGUGAAGUCUAUUACCAGAAAUAUCAACGGCUGUUAAGAGCGUAAGGAUCCUCGUGUACGUUAUUUCGACUCCUUUGUUUAGUAAGACCAACGAGUCAUCCUGGUAGUAUACACGUUCUUCUCCUAUGUACUUGAGUUCUGAACGGUUUCGCUCCGAGUACAUGGCUCUCAAAUACACGAAGAAAUCAAAUGGCAGGAUUCCGGAGAAGUAAUUAUAUGAUAUGUCAAUGAUAUGCAACUCGGGAAACGAAGAAGCAGACUUGGGAUGAUGAUGUUGUAACGACCCAUGAAACUCGUUAGAGUGGAGGACUAAUACUUGUAGACUUUGUAAAGAUUCCAACCAGAAUGGGAAAGUGUCGCUGAUUCCGUUGUGUUCCAUGUUUAGAACCUCUAGAUAAGAACACUUGGACAAGGACCUCGGAAGUUUUCCCGCCAAUUCGUUGUGACCAACAUGGAGUGUUCUUAGAUUGCAUCCAUUGGCGAAUACUUCUGGCAAAGUUCCAUUGAAGUGGUUAUGCGAUAUGUCGAUGAUUUCCAACUUCUUGAGAGAUUUGAUCUUUUGUAUUGGCCCAUGGAAUGAAUUGAAAGAAAGGAUGAGAAAUCGUAGGUUUGUCAGAGAAGUCAACCAGGAAGGAAACUUGUCACUGAUUAUGUUACUUUCCACAUUUAGAAAUCUAAGAAUAGAAAGACGAGUCAAUGAUGGAAGCUUUCCAACCAAAUGGUUGUGGGAGAGAUCGAGAAUGUCGAGAUAAGAAAGGUUUUCAAAUGAAGAUGGGAUUUCACCAACGAAAUUGUUAUCAGAGAGGUAAAGAGUGUUGAGAUUUGAAAGGUUACCAAGUGAAGAUGGGAUUUCACCAACAAAAUUGUUAUGGUAAAAGUCAAUAGAGAUGAGAUUUGAAAGGUUACCAAGUGAAGAUGGGAUUUCACCAAUAAAAUUGUUAUGAGAGAGUUGAAGAAAUUUGAGAUUAGAAAGGUUUCCAAGUGAAGACGGAAUUUCACCUACAAAAUUGUUAUAAGAGAGGCAGAGAGUGGCAAGUUGAGAAAAAUUUCCAACUGAAGUUAGAAUUUGACCGCUGAAAUCAUUGUAUGAUAGGUCGAGAAAACGCAGACUUUGAAUCCUGAAAAGCUUGCUAUCAGAAUGAAACCGGCCGUGGAGGCCGCUGCAAAAGAGGUCUACCACAAUCACUUUCCCCGAUUUGGGAUCACAUUUGAUACCGUCCCAGUAGCAACAGUCGAUGUUAUUCGCCCAUGACUUUGUCUUCGGUACAAAACUAUCACCACAAAUGUAAGAAGGUUUGCCAAUCUCAAACUCGUUUUUAAACUCGAGAAGUGCAUCCCUUUGUUCGGGAUGACACACAUGUCCAGUAGGGGCCGGGAAUACGGUUUCAAACUGAAAAAGGAAUAAAAAGAUAAAAGAAAGAGACCUUGGAAUUGAGUUUCCGUACUGACUUAUAUGCAUCCUUCUGUAAACCAAUUUAGCUUUCAUGAAUAGUAAUCGAAAGAAGCAAAAAGAAUGGAAUUGUGAUGAAUAAAUAUGGUCUAAUGUUUCAUCUACUUUUAUAGGAAACAAUAUUGAAUGGGACUACACAGAUAAAUCCAUUUCGCUUGACUGACUAAUUAGUCUUUCUCCGAACCGUUCUUCUAAUGGAUUAAAAAAAGUAAAAGUCCUUGUGUUGAUUUUAUUAGAAGAAUGAUCAAGUCGUUUGUAACUUUAAAUGAAAGGCAGGGAUCAAUCUGUUGUCUAGUCAACCAAGUAAGACCAUGAUUAUCGCAUAAGCGAUCCUUAGGUUUUUUUUUUUUUUUUUUUUCUUCUUAAAAAAAAAGUAAAAAUUAAAAAUGAGCCAAUUGCGGGCUGUCACGUGUCGGUGGAGUCCGCAAACAAUGCCAAACCCCCACUUACCGAUCCUUAUUUGGUGUUUGAUGGUAGCAGUUUUUAAAAUUUUUGUGGGAUCCACGCGUCAGUGGGUCCCACAUUUUGUUAAAAAUCUCUCUAAAAAUCUAGGGAUGUUGAUGUUCCAAGAGUACGACUAUAAUUACUCUGUUUUUUCUUUCCCACUACUUUCCUUUUAAGUAAAAUUAGUGUUCUAAAAUAUGAUAUACGUUUUCUGUGCGGUGACUUAGCGCCUAGACGUAUACGCGAGCAUCUAAACGGGCCUAAGUGGACUAUAUAUAUAUAUAUAAAUUAUAAAUGGUUAAUAAUAUAUAUAUUAUUAAUGAUUGAUAUGUAAUAAAAUAAUAUUAAUACUAAAGAACAAAAAACUUUCAAUACUAAAUUCUUAAAAUCAAAUAACCAACGUCUAAAAAGAUGAUAAUAAUUCUAAAUCUAAAUAAAGUAGAAAACAUUUUCGUCCUCAAAUCAAAAGAACAAGUAAAAUGAAAAAAAUAAACCAAACUGAAAGUUUAAUCAUCAUAUUCUUCUUCACCGUACAUGUUUGGAACUUGGUCUUCAUCUGAUUCCAAAUUAGUACCAGCAAAAUCUUCCUCUUCAGCAUCAGAAAUAAAAUCUUCAUCAUGCAGUUCUCUAAUAUCAGCCAUAUCAUCAUCAUCUGCCGCUCCUUCUGUAUCCACAGCCCCUACACCCAUAGCUGAUUCAUGCUCUCCAUCAUCACCUUCAACAAGCCAUUCUUGAGCAUGAGUAACAUCAUCAGCCAGCAAUAUAUUGAUGUUCUUCUCCUUCCGUUUUUUUUUCCUUUUUUCAACAAUCUUGUAUUAAAUUGGACAAAUACAAGAUUAUUCAUUCUACUUGUACUAAGUCGGUUUUGCUUUUUUGUAUGUAUCUGCAUUUUUAAAACAACAUCAUCAAUACAUAUGAAAGAUUAAGUUAUAAAAUUUUAGAAUCAUAGACUAAUAAAAAAUUACCCCUUCAAAAAAACUCCAAGCUCUUUCACAUCCUGAUGAACUAGUAGUCAAUGACAAAAUUCUCUUUGCCAUUCUUUGCAAAUUAGGCACCGACGUCCCGCAAGUGUUCCACCAUUCAACUAAUAAGAAAACAAAACAAUUAGUGUUUUCUGUUUUAUUUAAUUUAUUAAAGUGGAAACGUUACAGAAUCCACUUAUUUCUUACGCAUUCACAUUUGUCUCUACGUACAAGAUUUAAGACAAAACAAUAUAUUCCACUACACAAAUUAUAUCAAACAAAACUAAAGAUAUAUAGUGGCUUUGAAUUUUUAAACAUACCUGGAUCAUAAUCAUCUUUAAAUUCUUCACAGCCUUUUAUAGCCCAUGGUGUCCUAAAAUUAUCUUCCUUGUUCUUGUACUUAUUAAUCUCAGAAUUGAUGACGUUGCAUUGCUUGGAAAGAUCGUCGGGAAUAAAAGCAUUAUUGACACACUUGGAAAAGAUUGUGAGCACAUUGUUAUGUAACGGAAUGGUUUGAUCUUUGUAUAAAUAGUAAGGAUUCAAGAGAUAACCCGUCAAAUGCAAAGGACUGUCAAGUCGACCCUCAAUUCUUUGGUCAAUGAUAGUCAUGAUUGGCUGAAUAUUCUUUUGAACGUUAUUCAACCCACCACAUAUAUCUUUCUUUGCUUGUAAUAACUCUCCAUGCAGAUAUCCCAUUGUAGGUUUCUUAUCACCAUCAACCAAUCUAAGUACCUUAACUAAGGGUCCAAAAACCUUCAAACACACAGUGACUCCAUUCCAAAACUGCAUACUCGUCAUUGUUUUAAAAGCUACCACUCCCUUAGAAUGCUUUGCCCAUUUGCACUGUUUCCAUUCAGCACUAACAAACAUGGACUGUAACUGAUGAGUCUUUUCCAUCAGGCUUUGCAAAGUUAAGAAGCAUGGUGCAAAUCUUGUAAUAACCCCUGGUCUAACAAUGUCUUUAUUGUCUGUGAAUUUCCUCAUCAUCGCUAAAGUCUUGUGGUGAGCAUAAACAGAUAUUGUGAACCCUUUAGCUCUCACGGAACCAAAUAUAGCAACAAUAACUCAAUAGUAAAAAUAAGAGAGGUUUUAAUGUUGAAACUUGGAACUAACAGGUAAAAUUGUGUCAGUUGUAAUAUGAGAAUUAGAUUCAUUCUCACAUGCGUUUUCAAAACGCAUAAUUAUGUUUUUACAAAAUUUAAAUUUAAUAAAGAUAUAGUGAUUUAAUUAGAUUUUCACAUGCGUAAAACGCAUAAUUAUGUUUAAAAAAAAUGAAAUUUAAUAAAGAUAUAUUGAUUUAAUUUCUCCUUUUUUUGAUAAAUUUUAAUUUCUCUUUAGAUAAGUAGAAUAUUUUGCUUUUCAUUUGUUGACAAUAAAUAUGAUAAAUUUUAUUAGAAAUAAAUGAUUGGAUUUUCUCCGGAAUUGGAAGAUCAUCAAUUUGCAUAGAUCUUAUGGUACAUACGGAAAGGAAGAAAUAACAAGGUUUUUAGUAAUUUGGACAUGGAUCCUAGAGAUACUUUCAAAUUGGCAGAAACAGAGUCUUUACUUUGGGCGGAGGCGUAGAUCUCACUAACACAAGGAAUCGAGAAAACUCGAUUACCAGUACAAGCGAUAGUACCAGAUAUCCCAGGCCGAUGGUGUUUUACGGAUGGAUCAUGGAAAAAUAAAGAUUUACAUUCGGGACAAGCACUACAAGAAAACAUCAAGGAUUCUGAGGGAAAAAAUCGUCGGAAUUUCGUCGGAAUAUCGUUAUUCCGACGACAUACCGACGAAACACGUCGUCGGAAAUAAUUCCUCGGAAUUUAUUUUUUCCUCGGAAAUCCCUCGGAAUUUUCCGUCGGAAUUCCGAGGAAAUAAAUUUCCGAGGAAAUUCCGAGGAUCACUAGUUUGUCGGAAAUGUCCUCGGAAUAUACCGAGGGAGAACUUCGUCGGUAUAAUUCCUCGGAAGUUCAUCGAUCGAUGCGUGUUUGGACAUAUAUACAUCGAUCGAUAGGAGUAUACCGACGGACCUUUUCCUCGGUUUAUUCCGAGGAACUUUUCCCUCGGUAUAUACCGAGGGACCAGUUCCUCGGAAUUUUCCGAGGGACGGCUCCCUCGGAAUUUUCCGAGGGAUAUGUCCCUCGGAAUAUACCGAGGGAAAAGUUCCUCAGAAUAAACAGAGGAACCUGUCCCUCGGUAUAGCCCGAACGUUUUUUAAAAAACGCAUCGAUCGAUGCGUUUUUGAACAAAAACGCAUCGAUCGAUCAAGUGAAAAAUAUAAUUAAUUUCCUCGGAAUGUAAAAAAUAUUAAUUUUUUUAAAAAGAUAAAAUUUCUGAAAUUUAAAUUCGAAAAUAUGAAAUUAAAAGUAAAAUUGAAAUCAUAUUAAUUAAUAUUCAAAGUUUCACAAAUAAAAAUAAAACAUUCCGAGUUUGUGGAAAAAAAAAAACUACGGGUCUGGCACGUCCGGGAACACCUCGUUCGGGUACAUCCUCUGCAUCAUCUCCAUCAUUUGCUGGUUCAGCCUCCUCUGUGCCUCAUAGCCCGCCUGUUGAGCCGCCAUCUGGGUCUCUAACAAAGAUAUACGAUCAUCUUUGUCCUUCAACUGGGCCGUAAGUACUUCUGGAUCAACGAAGGGCGGUGGUGCAGAAGAAGGGGGAACCGACCGGGUGCGACGACCCAAACCGACCAAACGUCCCUUCUUCUUUGGAACCGACUGAAUAGAAAAAAGCCAAAUUUAGAAAUUUAAACCAAGAAAUAAAUGAAUUGAACUUUUAAAAACAAAGAACUUACGGAUUCAACGAUUUCGUUGAUUCGAAACCGGGACAAGUUGGUCGAAGCCGUCGAAGCGUCAUCCUCGGUUUGAAGCUGAGACACUUCGUCUACCACCUGAGUUUGGACCAGGUCGACCACGUCCCUCACAAGACCGUCAUCAAUCUGGCCGGUCUUCUUGUUGGUAUACGCCCUCCUCAUUAGGGCGAGAUCAUCAACCGGCUCGCCAUCAUUUUCUUCCGCCUUGAAAAAAAACAUAAAUUAAAGAAACAUUAGAAAUUAGAAGAAAUGCACAAUAAAUUUAAAUUCUGAAACUCAAAUAAUUGAAGAAAAAGCGGUUGAACUUACCAUGCGAUCUCCGAGAGUGGCAAUAGAUUGAGCACCCAAGUUAUGCUUGUAGAUGCCCUUCCCUUUACGGUCGCUCCUGCGGUUGGUGGAGUUGGUGGAAGAAGUUUCUUUCGUCUCUUCCUUAUCCCAAUGCGCACACAACUCCUUCCAGACCGUGUCGUUCAUCGACUUUGGGACCUUUUAAUAAAAAAAAAAAAAAAAAGUUUAAUAAAUUAAAAAAUAGUUUAAUAAAUUAAAAAAUUGUUUAAUAAAUUAAAUCGAACCUUAUUGAUUUCCCACUUCUUCUUCCACUCGUGGAUCUGCUUCCCAUAGUUGUCCAUUACUUUAUGGACGAAGUGGUGAUAGAUAAAGAGCGUCUCAUCGGAAUUCCAGUUGAACUCUUGCUGAAAAAAAAACACAAUUAGUAGAAAAUUUAUAUUAAAGAUUAAAAAUAUAAGUAAAAAAUUAGAAUACUUACCGCAAACUGACGAAACCACAGAACCUGCUUGUCGGUUGGGAAGUGAGUGAAAGUCGGAUGUCCACUGUCGAGGGCCGAGUACAUCAUACGGUUGAUCCAUGCGCUGAUCCCGUUCCCGGAUCGGUUGAACCUUAUUAAAAGAACAAACGGUUAAUAAUGAAUCCAAAUUUAAAGAAAAAAAAAUGUUUAAUUACCAUGUUUGACCCCGUCCAUGUGGAUACGGAGUGAGAUACGGAAGAUGGUCACGACCGGGCUGUUGAACCAACUCCGCAACCCUCAUCACUCCCGGAGGACCCGGAGGAACAGGAGCGGAUGCAGCAGCGGGAGCGAGAGGAGCAUGAGCGGGUGCAGCAGAGGGAGAUGUAUGGUUGGAGCUGUGGGGCGAAGGGGAAUCCUGAAAAUGGCUGGAAUCCCGAGACUGGCUCCCCGUACCACCACGACCACGACGCUGUCGAGGCCGGGUCUGAUCAUCAUGAGACCUGUAAAUUAAAAAAAAUAUAUUUAAUAAAUACAGAAAUAUAUAAAUUAAUUUUUUUUAUUAAAAAAAAAUCCCAAAUAAUUUAAUCACAGAAAAAGAUUUAUAUAUAUUAAAUUUUUUUAAUAAAUAUAUAAAAAUAGUUCUAAUAAACAAAAAUAGUUUUAAUAAAUAAAAAUUGUUUAAUAAUUAAAAUGUUUUGUAAAAUCCAAAAAAUCGAAUUUAUAUAGAAAUUUUUUUUUGUAAAAUCCAAAAAAUCGAAUUUAUAUAGAAAAAUCGUUUUGUAAAAUACAAAAAUCGAUUUUAUAUACAAAAAUCGAUUUUAUAAAUACAAAAAAUAAAAAAAUUAUAAAAAAAUUCUAAAUCAAUUCAACAAAACAAAUUAUUCAACCAAAUCACAAUUCUAAACCUAUUAUACAACCAAAUCACAAUCCUAACCAAUCACCCUAACAAAAAUCUAUCAAAACUACACAAAAACCUAACAAAUAGAACCUAAGAGAGUGGGAUAGGGUCCUUACAUGAUUUGUGUAAGAGAAGAGGGAGAUCGCCGGAGAUAUCGUCGGAUUUCAGGGGGAAAUCGCCGGAGAGAAAGAGAGGAGUCGCGCAGAGGAAGAAGAGAGAAAUGGGGAAGAAGAAGGGGCUCGUGGUUAUAAAACCUAGGGUCCGACGGACAUUAUCCGUCGGAAUUCCGUCGGAAUUCUAAUUUCAAUUUUCGCGAAAUAUUUGCCCGGUAAAAUGAAAAUAUUCCGAGGAAAUUCCGACAGAUAGUAAAAUAUCCGUCGGAAUUUCCUCGGAAUAUUCCGAGGAAAUACCGAGGAACUAGUGUUUGGGGUUUCAAAACAUCAAUUUUUUUUGCCGUAUUUCAUUUCUUAUACAAUUGUAAUGCAUACCAUUGAGGAUUCUUUGUAUACAUGAGCAUAAACCAUGAAAUAACAAAUUUCAAAACUAAUUGAAAGUAUUCCCUUUACCGUUCAUUAAAAGGUAUAAGUGUUUCUCUUAUGUUGCGAGAUUUCGUUCAUACAAUCGGAAAAGUGUUAAUUAUACGGUAAGGAACAAAUUUUUGACUUCAUAAUGAACGUAAGACACUUAAUAAGGGUUAUAUAGGUGUUAUUCAAACGGCAAAACGUUGUUUUCGGUUUAAAAACCCUAUUUCCUCGGAAUUUCCUCGGAUUAUUCCGAGGGAACUCCGACGAAACCCUCUUCUUCCUCGAAAUUUCCUCGGAAUAUUCCGAGGAAAUUCCGACGAACUAGUGUUUGGGGUUUCAAAACGUAAUUUUUUUUAAAAAAACGCAUCGAUCGAUGCGUUUUUGAACAAAAACAAAUCGAUCGAUUACUAAGAUGGCCCGGGCCGUAAGAUUGUGAUCGAUCGAUGAGAGUAUCCCAUCGAUCUAUCGACAAUCUGCAUUGUUCCUCGGAAUUUCCUCGGAAUAUUCCGACGGACUGAGGUUUCCUCGGAAUUCCGUCGGUAUAUUCCGAGGAAAUUCCGAGGAACCCCAAUUUUGUGUUUCCUCGGAAUUUCCUCGAAAAUUCCUCGGUAUAUUCCGAGGAUUUCAUUUUCCGUUGGAAUGUCCGUCAGAAUACCGAUGUUUUCUUGUAGUGAAGGGUGGUAUAGUACACUGGAAGGUUUUGAUGGUUUAAUGGGAGCGAGGAAUACAAGAACGAAUCAGUCGCACUUCAUUCAGAGAUGGAAGCGCUUAUUUAGGCAAUGGAGUGUAUGAGGAAUCUAAGACAGUUUACUGUUACAUUUGCAACAGAUUGUUCUCAGUUGGUGAAGAUGGUUUCGGAACCAGAAGAAUGACCACUCUUUGAAAGUUAUUUAGAAGAUAUAAAGAUCAAUCUAUACUAUUAAAACAAAAUCCUAAUUUAAAAUUUUGGAUUAUGCCAUUGAGUUUUUAUCAUAUUUACAAGACAAUACCACUCUUUAUUUUUAGAAUUUUGAACUAAAAUUGGCAAGAAAUAUAACAGAUUUUAUAUAUAUAUAUGGAAAACUAUAUAUAUGGCAUGUCAACAAUCAUUAUUAUUUUAAUAGGUUUUGGAAAAUAUAAAUAUAUUUAAAAUGAUUUUCCAAAUUAUGGUAACUAAAAAAUGCUUAUACACUCCAAGGUAUUCCCUAAAAAUACUAACAACCUAAAUAUUAAAAUAGCUUAACGUGUUUUCUUAUCUAUAUUAUUAAAAUUGAAGUACCUAUAUGAAUUAAAAUUUGAAAUAACCUUUUAAUCACAUCUACUUUCAUUUCUUUUUUACUCAUAAAUAUAAUUAAUUUUAAUAAAUGAAUUUACAAAAAAAUAUGAUAAAUAUGAGUUUCCUUAUAAAUCGUAGGUAUUACAUUAAAUUACCUAAUAUUUAGCUAAUUGAAAAGAUUGCAAUCUUUCAAUCAUUUAAUACUUAACAAAAACGAUUUUAUAAAUAUCAUAUAUAUAUAUAUUCAUAUCUAAUUUUAAAUUUAUUUAAUAUUCUCAAAUCUUGGUUAGAAAUUAUUGUGAAUAAUUAUUUGAUUUCGUUUGAUCUAUGUAGAGGCCGGUUCACUUUCACGAUGUAAAUUUUCUACGUGUAUCAAUUUCUUACUAAUUUUCUUUUAUUGUUUUUUAACUAGAUUUACAUUAUUUUGAACCCGCUAAGCAUGACAACUGUAGAUACUAAAAUUUUUAUACAUGAAUUACAUUUAUUUUAUUUUAUGUUCUCAGUUGGUGAAGAUGGUUUCGGAACCAGAAGAAUGACCACUCUUUGAAAGUUAUUUAGAAGAUAUAAAGAUCAAUCUAUACUAUUAAAACAAAAUCCUAAUUUAAAAUUUUGGAUUAUGCCAUUGAGUUUUUAUCAUAUUUACAAGACAACAUUAGAAACUAUUAAAUAAAAGUUUACAAUUCUCUCUAGUCGACAUAGGCGAUGAUCUAGGGUUUCGAUGCUUUCUCAAAAAUGGGAUCCUGGAAUUGGAUACGAGUUACAUAAUGGAGCAGAAGAUCAGCAAAGGAAGGAUUUGGGGGGUUCUGAGUUGAGAUCUUCAGAUCUCAGGCGAUUUGAACGGGUUUUCGAAAGCAUUAUUAUUUUAAUAGGUUUUGGAAAAUAUAAAUAUAUUUAAAAUGAUUUUCCAAAUUAUGGUAACUAAAAAAUGCUUAUACACUCCAAGGUAUUCCCUAAAAAUACUAACAACCUAAAUAUUAAAAUAGCUUAACGUGUUUUCUUAUCUAUAUUAUUAAAAAAUUAUGGAGAUUUACAGGUAUCAUUUCUGCUUACAAAAAUAUCAUGUUUCCUUACCCUAUGAAAGGAAAUAUACGAAGUGAUCAAGGCUUUGCUCUAAUUGAGAUAUGGAGAUAUUGGAUCUGUUAUCAUCAUGAGUGGUUAUGGAAAAUGGCGGAUUGGAUUUUCAAUGAUGAGAUUGGAUUUGAGAUAUAUGUCAUUAACGGGAGGCGAUAUGGGAUUGAGGAAUUGGAAAACCGGGAUUAUUAUAAAACCCAUAUUGAACUUUCUCUUUGUUGUAUAUCAUUGUCGUUUUCUUUAGCGACUAUUUCUAACAAAGAGAAAGUUUUCCCUUUUCUGUUUACUAUGACGCAGAGCCAACUUCUCGGCAAUGGUGGUGACAUGAAGGAAGGAGAAACGGCUCGGAAAAGAAUGAAGAUCUCGGUGCCUCACUUUGAUAACUCGGCACUAAUCAAGACUUACUCUAAGUCCUUGAUUGGACGAUGCAUGAAUCCACCAGAGCAGGAAAUGAAGGCGCUCAUCCAGAACGUACCGAAGAUUUGGAAGCUGGAGGAAAGGGUUGUUGGAACGGACUUGGGUUUUGGCAAGUUUCGGUUCGACUUUGAAACAGAGGAGGAGAUAGAUACGGUACUGAAGCUGGAACCGUAUCAUUUUGAUUACUGGAUGUUGGCAUUAGCACGGUGGCAACCGAAGAAGUCGCAGCUCUUCCCAUCAGAGAUAACGUUCUGGAUUAUGGUGAUAGGUGUUCCGAUGGAGUUCAGGACGGUGCCUACCUUUGAGAGCCUCGGUGAUGCACUUGGACGAACAGUAGCAGUAGAUGUAGAGCACUGCAGAGUGCAGGUGGUGGUGGACGCGUUUCAGGAGCUUUGCUUUGAAACAACUUUGGACUUCAAGGGUGGAGAAUUUUACGAGGGGGAGGAAGCAGCAAUAUCAUUGAGGUAUGAGAAGCUCUUUGGAUACUGCCCACUUUGUUCUAGCUUGUGCCAUAAGGAGGAGAAAUGCCCUCUUGCUAAGAAGGCGUCGCCUGAGAAGAAAAGAGAGGGUCGAGAAGGAAAUGGAGGAUGGUAUGAUGGUGGGAAACACGAUGAUCGAGCUCGGAGCUAUAAGGGAGUGGUCAUAAAUGGAAAUCAGAAUCAACAACACAAGGAAAGAGACGGUAGGGACUACUAUGGGAAGGGUAAAGGCAAGAUGGUGGAAGAGGCUGACUCAAAAUGGGUGAAAGUGGCUGAUAGAGGCAAUAAGGGGCCUUUUACUAAUCACAGGAGCUUUAGGGGUGAGGGAGAUGGUUCUCGACAUAGAUCUUCCCGAAGAGAAGAACCCCGGGCUGAGGGUCAGGGGCAGGGAGGAAGUAAUAGAUCCUCCUCAGGUCAGUCAGGAGCUCCAAAAGAAGUAGUUCAGGAGGAGGGAGAAAUAAAAAAUCCUAAAGAGUCUGAGAAAACUCUCCCCUCUCAGGAUUUUCAAGAAGAGCUGGCCAAGACUCAAGCUGUAGGAUCUGAGGUAAUUUUGGACCCUAUGGAUGCAGAGGAAGGGCUUCAGAUGAUCAAAGCCUGAUAGUGGAACCGUCAACUUUGGAGGAUGAUAAAGUACUGGACAUGGACGAGUGUAGAGCUAUCUGUCUUGAGCAUGGGAUAGAUAUGGAUGCAGCAGCCGAUCUACCAGAUUGCUCGGAUGGGGAAUUUGAGGAAAUGCUAAAGGAACAAGAUGAUGAAGAAGCUAUUCCAGCAGAUUUAGAAAAUGAAAAUAUGGAGGUGGAGAAAGCACAUGUUAAAGGAGAUGUGGCGAAGAAGCAAGGAACUCGCAAGAGGCUUUUUAAGCCUAGCACCGCGGGGAGUACGAAGAUGAGGAUAGCUUCUGCGCUUGUGUCUCCGCGUAAACGAGCUCCGGCAAAGGUAGGUACACGUCAUGAAGAUCACAGCAAGCACCAGGAGAUUAAGGGCACUUCAAACCCGAAGACUGGAAUGAAAAAUCCAUAAUUUAUGAAUCAAAUGUCUCUCGUAUUGGGUUUAAGUAACAGGGUUUUCAGUUAUGGUUUUAAGCUUUUAGUUUUCCAAAUAAGCUCUUGGAGCAUCUAUUUGUUAUCUGGUAUUAUGGGUUUUAUAGAGUCGGGCUGUUGGUGUUGUCUUUGGUUGUCGGUUGUGUUUUCACACUUGUUUGAUCAUUGGAAUAAUACUGAGGUUUACAGUUAUUGGUACUCGGGUCUAUUAGAGAUAAUUAUCACAGUUGAGUCAUAUGUUUGGUUUGCUUUUGUUCUGGUCUACGGGUUACCUAGGUCUAGGACAAGGAUACUUUGCAAAGUUGGACUGGAAAAUGAUCGGGAACAAUGGAUUUGGUGGGGGGCUCGAACAUUUUUGCAGUGCUAUCCUACUUGUAUCUAUUUUUGUUUCAGGUCGCAAUCUCUCCCAAAGGAAGAAUGGGAUAGAGUUGCAAUAAUUAUGGUCCGGAGAUUGAGAUUACAAUGGAAAUUCAUGGUGAUUCAUCGGGACAAAGGUCUACUGGCUUUUGCACUACAUGGUUUGAGCUUAAGGGGAGAAGCGACAUGGAGUAGAUACAAACUAAGGCCGCAAGGCCUUGUUUUUCAACAAGUGUGGUGGUGGGAGAUAUGGUGGGCUAUUAGAAUUGAGUACCUAGUGGUUAUUAUGAAAGUAUGGUCUUAUCUUUGUCAUUAUGGUUUAUAUAGUUAUAAUUUUAUAUGGUGGAAAGAUGGAAUGGAAGGGCUGAUCUUGGCUUGGCGUAAAUUGAUAUCGAUUGAAUUUUUUCGAUGGCAAACUUUAGCUCAGAUUAAAUUAAGAGGGUUAUGGAUUUGUGGUUACUUGCAGAGUAAGGCAAUGAAUAUUAAUGGUUCUAGACGUGGAAAGGUGUGGAAACCGUUGGUGAUCUCAAUAAGGAGGUGGCUGGUUUUUUUAUAUUGUCAACCCCGGGUUUGGUUUGAAUGGAACGUAUACGCAAUUCGGAAUAUGUAUAGACGUUUCUUUUUUGGGCCUAGUGAGUUGUAUCGAUUUGUCAAUGCAAGUAGGCCGUUAAUAUCCUCAAAACGAAUAGGUAUUUCAAGUGUAAAAAAUUGGUAUUUUGGUGCAAUAAACUGUUUUGCUGUAGAUAUUAACUGUGAUGAUGAAAUUGAUUUUCUUGGGUAUAUAAUAGUUGGAUCUUACGGUUCACGAGAUUGCAGAUCUCCUUUUGCUUAUGAAACCGGUUUUACAUUCUUAUGGAGGAUAAGUGAUAACAAUUGGACCAUAUUAGUGGUAUCACUUUGGAUUGUUAUGGAAUGGUUUGGAUCACAAAUAAAGGAAAAUAUUUGGAAUGUGGAUAUAGGGUAUCAUUACACCCAUAAACUAGGCUCUCCGGAGCACAAAAAGAACAAUUUUUUAAAUGCGGGUAUUGAGUUGGAAUUGUCGAGGAAUGGGAAGUAAAUGGACUUUAAGCUAUUUGAGCGAGAUAAGGCAUAAACAUAAGCCAGAUUUUUUGUUUUUAGCAGAGACAAAACAAGAGCCAGAGUUUGUCCAAAAAUGGCAAGCUCACUUUGGAUAUGAUAAUCUGGUCACAAUAGACCCAGUGGGGAGAAGUGGAGGAUUAGCGCUUUUCUAUAAUAAUGAGUAUCAGGUAAAGGUAUUAUAUUCUAGCAACCGAAUGAUUGAUGUGGAAGCGGAGGCACUGGGUAAAACGGUUUACCUUACCUUUGUAUAUGGGGACCCGGUUCAACAAAUGCGGGAACACGUGUGGGAACGGUUAACUAGAUAUGGACUGGCGAGGUCUGAACCCUGGUUUAUUAUUGGUGAUCUCAACGAGAUUACUGGAAAUCAUGAAAAAGAUGGAGGGUCUAUAAGGAGUGCGGAUUCUUUUAUCCCUUUCAAUAACAUGAUAAGGAAUAGUGGUUUACUAGAAUUUCCGGCUAAAGGAAAUAAAUGGUCCUGGCAAGGGAGAAGAGGAAAAGGGAAAAUGGCAGUGAUGGUUAGAUGUCGAUUGGACCGUGCUCUAGCAAAUGAAGAGUGGCAUACUCUAUUUCCAUGUUCCUUUACAGAGUAUCUUGGGAUGGUGGCUUCUGAUCAUCGGCCAGUGGUGGCUUAUUUAGAAGAUAAAGUUCCCAGAAGGAAAGGACAAUUUCGGUUCGAUAAGAGGUGGAUUGGACAAGCGGGUCUCCUGGAAUCAAUAACAAUGGGUUGGCUAGACCAUAGCGAAGGAAGAUCAGGAGGGGGAGCAGAGAGUAUCGUAGGAAAAAUUAGUAAUUGUCGUCAUGAAAUUGCUAAAUGGCGGAAAAAUAUUCCACCCUACGGAAAAGAAAAAAUAAAUGAGCUACAACAGGCACUUGAAGAGGUACAAAUGGAUAAUAACAGAUCUCAAGAGGAUAUUUUGGAGGUGUCUAGGAAAUUACAAGACGCAUACAAGGAUGAAGAAGAUUAUUGGCACCAAAAAAGUAGGAACAUGUGGUAUUCUUCUGGUGAUCUUAACACAAAAUUUUAUCAUGCUUUGACUAAGCAAAGGAGGGUCCGUAAUAGAAUUGUAGGACUACAUGAUGCUAAUGGGAAUUGGAUUACAGAGGAUAAUGGUGUGGAAAAGGUGGCAGUAGGCUAUUUUGAAGAUUUAUUUAGUACCACCUCUCCAUCGGAAUUCGAUAGUUUCCUGACAGAGAUUACACCGGGUAUCACUCCUCAGAUGAAUCAACGUCUAUUAAGGAUGGCUACGGAGGAGGAGGUUAAGGAGGCUUUGUUUAUGAUGCACCCAGAAAAAGCGCCCGGACCGGACGGCAUGACAGCAUUAUUUUUUCAACACUCCUGGCAUAUUAUUAAGAAUGAUUUGGUCGAGAUGGUGAAUAAUUUUUUGGUUUCGGGGGCAAUGGAUGCACGAUUAAAUAUUACUAAUAUCUGUAUGAUACCAAAAACGGAGAGACCUACAAGGAUGACAGAACUGCGGCCAAUCAGUCUCUGUAAUGUCGGAUAUAAAAUCAUUUCCAAGGUUUUGUGUCAGCGAUUGAAAAUCUAUCUUCCCUUACUCAUAUCUGAAACUCAAUCGGCAUUUGUGGCAGGAAGAGUGAUUUCUGAUAAUAUUCUUAUCGCCCAGGAAAUGUUUCACGGAUUGCGGACCAAUAAAGCAUGUCAAGGAAAGUAUAUGGCAAUAAAAACGGAUAUGAGCAAAGCAUAUGAUAGAGUCGAAUGGGAUUUUAUUAAGGCUUUAUUGCAGAAAAUGGGUUUUGAUCUUCAUUGGAUUAAACUGAUGAUGGAAUGUAUUUCAUCGGUUCAAUAUCGGGUUCUUAUAAAUGGUCAACCACGUGGCCUCAUUGUUCCACAUAGGGGUUUACGUCAAGGAGAUCCUUUAUCGCCUUACUUAUUUAUUCUUUGCACUGAGGCUUUAAUUGCAAAUAUAAAAAAGGCAGAGAGAGGGCAACAAAUUUCGGGAAUGAAGGUGGCUCGAGCUUGCCCAUCGAUUUCUCAUUUGCUUUUUGCGGAUGAUAGUCUUUUUUUUUGUAAAGCUCAAAAGGAAGAGUGUCAAACUAUUCUUCGGAUUUUAAAAGAAUAUGAGGCAGUUUCAGGGCAGCUAAUUAAUUUUGAUAAGUCAUCCAUUCAAUUUGGAUAUAAGAUUGAAGAAUCUGUCAGACAAGAAUUAAGGGAUAUUUUGGGUAUUCAGAAUCUUGGAGGAAUGGGAUCAUACCUUGGUUUACCAGAAAAUCUGGGGGGAUCAAAGAUUCAAGUUUUCAACUUUAUACAAGAUCGUUUAAGUAAUAGAGUCAAUGGGUGGACUUUCAAGUUUUUCACAAAAGGUGGAAAGGAAGUGAUCAUUAAAACAGUGAUUACGGCAUUACCAAAUCAUACGAUGUCCUGCUAUCGAUUGCCUAAAGCAACGGUGAAAAAACUGACAAGCGCGGUAUCACAAUUUUGGUGGAGUCCAGGGGGAAGUACAAGAGGCAUACACUGGAAAUCAUGGGACAAGGUAUGUGUAGACAAAGAGGAUGGAGGUCUGGGGUUUAAAGAUAUCACUGAUUUCAACACAGCGAUGCUUGGUAAACAGUUAUGGCGUUUAAUAGAGAAGCCAGACACCUUAUUUUCUCGAGUUUUCAAAGGCCGGUAUUUUAGGAAUGCUUCACCCUUGGAACCGAUUCGUUCAUAUUCUCCGUCAUACGGCUGGCGGAGUAUUAUUUCUGCUAGAUCUCUGGUUAGCAAAGGACUAAUCAAAAGGGUGGGAUCAGGGUCUUCUAUAUCCGUAUGGAAUGACCCUUGGCUCCCAACCACUCGCCCGAGACCAGCUAAUAAAAAUCAACAUAAUUUAUACCCGGACCUUACAGUAGAGUCCCUCAUUGACUCUACCUCGCGUACUUGGAAUUCAGACGCAAUUCGGGCUUUGGUGGACCCUCAGGAUGCGAAACUUAUAGAAAGUAUUCCCCUAAGCAGGACUCAGCGGGUUGAUAGAGAUGGAUGGCACUUUACAAAAAAUGGAAAAUAUACGGUCAAAUCAGGAUAUCAGGUAGAGCGGAUUUAUCCAGAUAGAGAAAGAGUACCAAUACUGAUUGGUCCCACAGUGGAUGUAUUGAAGGCUUUCUGCUGGAAAAUACGGUGUUCGCCAAAGCUAAAACAUUUCCUAUGGCAACUAGUGACAGGGUGUAUAGGAGUGCGGAAGAAUUUACAAGCAAGGGGGAUUCAAGGGGAUAUUUGUUGUGCAAGAUGUGGAGCUCCUGAGGAAUCAAUAAAUCAUGUGUUUUUUGAAUGUCCUCCAGCUCUCCAAGUUUGGGCUCUUUCGAAGAUACCAUCAAAUCCAACUAUUUUCCCAACAAGUUCUCUCUUCACAAACAUGGAUCAUCUAUUCUGGAGAGUUUUACCACAGAUGGAGGAUCACCAGUUUGUAUGGAUACUAUGGUACAUCUGGAAAGCUAGGAAUAAUAAAGUUUUCAGCAAUUUGGAUAUGGACCCUAUGGAUACGCUUAAAUUGGCGGAAACAGAAUCGACAUUGUGGGCUGAGGCACAAGUUGUGAAUGACCAGAGGAUGCCACCACCAAUAAUAGAUAUGAUAUUGCCGUCGAUCCCAGGAAGAUGGUGUUUCACAGAUGGCUCGUGGAAAGAGGGGGUUACUUUUUCAGGGCAAGGUUGGCUUAGUACUUUGGAAGGUUUUAAUGGAUUGUUGGGGGCGAGGAAUGUUCGGGCUAGUCUUUCGCCUCUUCAUGCGGAGAUGGAAGCGCUACUAUGGGCAAUGGAAUGUAUGAGGAAUUUACGUCAAUUUCAGGUCACGUUUGCAACAGAUUGUUCUCAAUUGGUGAAGAUGGUUUCGGAACCAGAAGAAUGGCCAGCUUUUGCAAAUUAUUUGGAUGAUAUCAAGAUCCUGAAAGAGAGUUUCUCCCGAUCAGAGCUUAUCUAUGUACCACGGUUUUCUGUUUCUUGUUAUCUCUGUAUUUCUGUCAAAAAUGAAAAAUUGGUAAUAAUAUCUUUACAUUCUUACCAAAAAAAAAAAAAAAAAAAAAAAAAAAAAAAAAAAAAAAAAUUAACUCAAACAGGUUUAAAUAGAUGAUUAAUACAAUUACAUGAAUCUAAAUGGAUAAAAUUAUUAAGAACUUAAAAAUAAAUGGGUUCAAACGGUCAAGACAUAAAUGUGUUCGCCAAAAAUGAACCAGAUCUAAAUAAGGUGGAUCUACCAUUUUAUCAUUCUUAACAAAGAAUUUGACAAUUUUUUAUUAGAAUAUGACAAUGCAUAAUAUCCCGCGCUUUUAAAGCGCGGAUCAAAAUCUAGUCUACUUUUAAAUCCAGCACUGGUUGAUAACCCGUCCCAGACUUUUAUUUGGCCAGUGCAGUUUAUAAAAAUUCACAUGUAAUCUAUUAAAAUGGGCCAUAAUAUUUUAGCAAAGGACCCUAAUUUCUAACUAAAUUUUGCAUAAAAGAUUUUGGACCAUGUGCAAAUGUGCCUUGAGCACAUGCCCAAAGAUGGGCAUGUUGAUAACUUAAAUUCGUCUAGUGGUAAAGGGCUGGCAGUUGUGGGUACCGCCAUGGGUUUGAUUCCCUUGGCCAUCCGCAACGCCUUAAGUGAUAAGAAAAUGCGGAUCAUGAAAGCUUCGUAGUGAUUAGUCCUUAGUCCUAGAAAGCUUUUGGGAUCAUACCACGUUUAUCAAAAAAACUUACAUUUCAAAACACACACAUUUUAUAUAAGAUUUAUUAUGUGCCAAAUUUAAACAAAAAAAAACAUUCUUAUGUGGCGAAUAUAUAGAUGUUUAAAAGAAGGCAAUCAUCGCCAAGUCAUAUGAGUAGAGUCUAGAAGACGAUAUUUCGUUAUUUCCCAUAGUUUACACAAGAAGUCAUUACAUGAAGAUUAUGAGCAAGUUUUCCACGGCACUAGAGACGAGAUAUGAAAUUUUUGGUUUCAUCAGGGUAAACACUAAUACAGAAGUAUAUUGGAGGAUAAAUAUAUAAAUAUUGAGUAGGCUAGUUAGCCCUUCAUUUAUGUUAUAUGUAGAGCCAUUACAUGAAGAUUCAAAAUACGUAAUGGACAAGAAAAAUUAAGAGAUUAUAUUUAUUCUUUUACGCUUAUGAUUCCAUAAUAACAGCCAUGAACUUUAUUAAUUUUGUACUCUUGGCUCGUUUAAUAGAACUAAAACCAUGGAAUAACAAAUAUGUGCGGUUGAAGGUAACCCACAGUCUAAUAGUAUUUUAUGCCUUAAGAUAACCCUUGUGUUCUAAGUAUGCAACGACUGUUUCAGCCAUUUCGAUCGGAGAAGUUCCCGUUCCUUCUUCUCCUAGAGAAAUCUUCACAUGGCAGAAAAAAAAACAAGAACAUAAGGUAAAACACGAAAAGCUCAGGAUCUAGAUCAAGAACCAAAGUGAUGUUCUAUUACCUCACAGUUCAAUGGUGGCUCGUAAGGGUCAUCAAUCCCGGUAAAACCUAUGGAAACAUUUCAAACGAUAAUAUAUCAUCUCGGGAUCUCACUGAGACAAAAACAAGUCACAAAAAUUACAAACCUUUAAUCUUUCCUGCACGUGCAAGCUUGUACAGACCCUUUGGAUCCCUAGCCUCACAAACUUCAAGCGGUACAUUCAUGAACACCUAUAUAUAAUCAAACACCAACUUUACUCAAAAUCUUGAAAACUUUCAAUAUAGACUAGAGAGAUUACAAAAACAAAACCCAUGUUCUCUCAAAGUACCUCAACAAAAUCUCCCUCAGGAAGCAAAGUACGACAAGCGUCCCUGUCUCUUCUGUAAGGAGAAAUCAAACUUGCAAUGCAUAUGAUUCCAGCAUCCGCAAAAAGCUUAGCAACCUCUCCUAAAACAAAGCCAAUUAAAUGAGAUUCGUUGUUAACGUUUUAAGAAGAUUUUUUUAGUUAGGCUUUAGAGCUCACCGACUCUACGAAUGUUCUCAGCACGAUCCUCCGCUUUAAAGCUGAGAUCACGGUUUAAGCCGUGGCGUACAUUAUCUCCAUCGAGAAUAUAACAAAGUUUCCCCUUUUGGUACAGCUUCUGGUUCAAAGCACAAGCUAAAGUGCUCUUCCCUACAAAUACAAUAAUGUUUAGAUUUCACAUAGACCCAAAACUAGAUUGUUAAGUUUCCAAUUUAAAACCGGCAGUGGGUGGAAUGACCCAAAUCUUUUAUAUAUUAUUUAAAUCACUUUUAUAUUUCCAACAUAGAUAUUUCGAAAACUAUUGAUAGCUACACAAACCUGAACCACUAAGACCAGUGACCCAAAUCACACAUCCUUUCUGGUCAAGCAACCUCUGUCUAUCAACUUUCUCAACAGGACAUUCAUGCCACUUUAUGUUCGUCGAGUUUCCGACCGUAGACAAUGGUCCUUGCUUUUGUCCUAAUCAAAAGUGAAAAUAAAUACUCUUGACAUUUUUUCCCCCAUGGGGAUCAAAAAAAAAAUAUAUAUGAAACAAAAUCUUGUAUACCUGUGUGACCAUUGACCGAUUUUAGCUCAGGGAGAGAUCCAUUUUUGCUAUGGCUCAUGGUUUGAGAUCCUUCCAUGGAAACACAAGCACGAAGAACACCGACAGAUCUCGAGUUAGUACUCAAUGAAUUGCUGUCGGAUAUUAUCCCUUUGGGAGAUGCGAUUGGAAGGCCUAGAAACGAUUUAGCUCCGAUCAUCAUGAGAUCCGAAUUCAAUUAGAGAGAGAUCGAAGAAGAAAAAGCGGUAAAAUAAGGAAAUGUGUUUAGGGGGGGGGGGGGU
rnacentral:lncRNA from 1 species